ACAGUUUCAUCAACGAUAUUUUCGAGAAGCUUGCCCAGGAAGCUUCUAGGCUUGCAAGGUACAAUAAGAAGCCGACGAUUACAUCUCGGGAAAUUCAGACCGCUGUGAGACUUGUACUUCCUGGUGAGCUGGCUAAGCACGCUGUUUCUGAGGGUACCAAAGCUGUUACUAAGUUUACUUCUUCUUGAAGGAAGUUUGUUGCAUCGGUCGGUGAAUUCGGGUGUUAUGUGAUUUGUGUAGUUAGUAGUUUAGGCCUUUAAUUUUACUAGAUGAAGUCGUUUUUAUGUUUUGUGUUUUCAAAUCUUUGGUGGAUUUUUAGGGUUUGUUUGGAUGUACUAGAAAUUUGGACCUGAUCCAGGUGAUGUGCAUGUUCAUUAUGUUAGAAUAUGAAAAUGAAAUAUGAUUUCGGAAUUGCCCUUGUUGGUUCUUUUCUGAAUUGUGAUAGGUUAUUGUGAAAUUGCUUGGUGUGAAAAAAAAGGGCACAGAAUUGAUGCUUUCUUGUGUUGUGAGAAGUCCCUUUUUAACCAGUUCAGAGAUUUGGAGAUGUAUAUACAUAUUUUGAUUGGUGUGAAUUACUUGCUUGUGCUUUUCCUCUACCUUUAGAGUAAUUCCAAUUUAUUUACCUAUUUGCCUCCUUUCCGAACUUUGUGAAUCUGAAAAUAUUCCCAAUCAACCUUGUGAAAGCGGAUUUAAUCAAGAAAAACCUUAAUGGAAAGUUGGAAGCAAGAUGAGAAAAUGAAAAGAUUAAUGCUCUCAAAGUUCUUAACAGACAUGGGCAAAGGCAGACAAUUUCAGUUUCUGCUGAAUGGAGCCGCUGUUUCUAUUUUGUGAAGUCAAUAUUUUAGCUUCUCUCAGUUUAUGGUCAAUUACCUUGUACAUACAUAUCUUAGGCUCAAUGAAAAAAGGUGAAAGAUUUUGAAAGAGUGCAGUGACCAUAACAAUUCUAUUUUAAUAAGGUGCAUCGUAAGAGGAGCCAGGUAUGCAAACAGCACAGGUGUCCUGAUGAUGGCAGUUAUUAUAACUGAAAACUGAAUCCUUUCCCUCCCCUGUUUCUCUGUCCUGCUCCUAUCUUGUACAUCGUUCUCUUCUCAUCUUAUUUGAAUCUGCCUUAUCUCGGCAAUUUCACAAUCAAGAUUCAAGAACCUUCAUGUCUCAGCAACUAAUCCAGUUCGAAAAUCAGAAUCAAGAACUGGAAGCGCUUUAUUUCAUUCUACCCACUCGUUUCACCGUCACACAUGCAACUUGACUCUGAUUAUUUGGGUGCAGCAUCUUCUUGAGGUCAUUUCUUGUGAAGAGGAGCUGUUUGAUUCACCCAAUUUGCAAUGGGAAGGCUCUGUCUUACAAAAUGAUCCCACUCCAUGCUUCCGUUUCUUCUUGUGUAAAACUUGUGUACACACAUAGUAUCUAAACAUUGUACUUUUCAGCAUGCCGUUGAACUUAAGAUUUUCCACUGUUUUCAAGAAAGAUUGAUAUCAAGGAACUAUUUGUGCCCCUUGACGACAAACUAGUCAAGGUUAUUAUGAGUUUCAAGCUCUGGAUUUUGGAUUUCUGUUCCAUCAUUUGUGGUUUUGUUACUACGAUCGACUGUUUUCUACUGAAUGUGUAUCUUUUUUGCUUGAUGGGCACUCACUAUUUUCAGAAUAAGAUCAGUUGUUUGUAUUUUCUGAAUGUUUGUUUUUAGAUUUUUCAAUUGCCUAUUAUCUGAUUUUCUUUGUGAGUAAUCGAGUAAGACAAUUCUUUGCUUGCGAAUGAUGUCCAAGAAAAUUUACAAUGCACUUGCUUUGACGGAGGAGUGUUGACUUACAGUAGUGUAUCCGUAACGUGCUACUGAUUUAAGAAAGCGAUCCCUUGUUAUAACUUCUAACCAUUGUCUAUAUGCAUUUUCCAGACAAACAAAUCAGCCAGUUAUCCUUGUGUAUGUGUAAGAUUUUUUGAAUUAUACUUGAUGACAUAUCGAUUUUUGUUUCAAUAACUGACAAUUAUAAAUUUUCAUUCUUCUUAGAUUAAUUAUUGUUAGCGUUUUGUUUAGAUUAAUUAUGAUUAGCGUUCUUUUUUGUAGGGCUUUAAGUUACAUAACUAUGGUUAAUCAUAUCUUCAAUGUCUAGUGUCAACGUGGUGGCUGAAAGCCCAAAAAAUCAUUACAAAGAUGACAGCUAUGGGUUUGACAUGGAAAUGGCAGAUGUGUAUUGUGUGUUGGAUGCAACAUGCUCUUUGGCCAGAAAAUUGUAGGAUCUUCUAUGCAAUUUUCCUCUCUCUAUAUAUAUAUUUUUCUUUUCACUCCAAAUUAGGUUCAAAACUAGUAAAUGAAUGAUACAUUCUUCAGGUUCAAAUGAAAUCAUCCAAGAUGAACUCAGAGAAGGAAGACUGGUACUUAAAUUGUAAGUUUUUGAAGUAGUUAUGGCAGUAGAGACUCUGAGGCAAUGAUGUUUCGAGGACGUCACUGAAGGGCUCUCUUGGCCACAUUGUCCUCCUUUACCUUUUAAUUCUUCCGUUAUAGAGUUGUUUCUCAUAAGUUCUGUAAAGUGACACGUGAAAGUGGAAUUCCUGGUACACCGUAAUAUGUCUGGUGAAUUUGAAACGUGGCAAUUGAAGUAAAGAAUAGAAGUUGCAAUAUACUGGAUGUCCUGGUGUCUGUAUUACAGGAUUUCUAAACUAAUGCAUUCCAUUAAGUUUCUGUACAAUUGCCACAGUUCAUGAAAUCUCCGCUUUUUCCCAAAAUGAUCACUGCACUCCUACGAUUUAUGUUUUAUUGUUCUCCUUACAUGUUGAUAUUUCUACAAAUCUCGUUAGGCCUUUGUGCAUUUAGGCAAAAGAAACGGAUAAAAGAAAUGUGAGUAGUUUUUGCAUGACAAGAUAUUAUUACUGUAACUUCACAAAUCAGUCUGCCUGCAUCCUGAAAACAGGUGAUCCUUCACAGAAAAGCGGUUAUUAUUAUAACCAAGUAACGGGGCACCUUUCCCACCUCUAUAUCUCUCGCUUAAUACUUUCCGAGAUAUUCUGAUCAAAUCCCAGUCACAAUCAAGAACAUCACUUCCUCUUUGAACUCAUAAUCCGUGUUAAAAAUUGAUCUAGAAUUCUAGUGCUUUGCAUGUUAAUUAUGUUAGAAAAUGAAAAUAGUAUAAUGAACAAUUAUGAUGAAAUUCUCGGUUAAAUGGGGCUUCAAUUGUGAUUCGUCUGAAGUUGUCUAUUGUGGCCAUGGCUGGUUUCUUCAAUUUUCAAAUCUUGCUUGAGCCCAAAAUUAUAAGUUGGAAUUAAGGAAAGUUAUUAGACGUCACGUGAUCAGUACAACCCAUUUGCUGAAAUGCUGGCCCACCGCAGUAUACUGGGAAUUUCAGUCGUUACAAGGACUAUAGUAAUCUAAAGAUGUUCCAAUCAACCUCAGAAGAAGUGAUUUAAUCAAGCAGAAGCUUAAAGAAAAUUGAUGAGAAUAUUGAAGAUUGAUGCUUUGAAGUUGUUCUUAAAAUAAACAGGCAACGUAUUCUCUAUGUGAAUUCUAUUUUAAGCGCGCGCGGCUACUCUAGCCAGGGGUGUGUGCGUGUGUAUUUAUAGGUGUCCUCAGGAUGACAGUUACUAAAACUGAAAAACUGAAGCUGCUUUCGCUCCCCUGUUUCUCGCUCCUACUCUGUUCUUGUACAGUAUUCUCUUCGCAGCUUUAUUUGAAAGUGCUUUAUCUUGGCAAUUUCACAAUCAAGAUUCAAGAACCUUUCUUUAUCUCUCAGCAAAUAAGCCAUUCUGAAAAUCAGAAUCAAGAACUAGAAGCACUUUCUUUCUUUACACCCAUUUCCCCACUCCACAUAAAACUUGAAUCUGAUCAUUGGUUUGGGGCAGAACCAUCUUCUUGAGACCAUCUAUUGUGAACAGAAACAAGUCUUCAAGAGCUGUUUGAUCAUACAAGUAUGCAAUGGGAAGGCUUUUUGUCAUACAAUAUGACCAGACUCCGGACUCACGUAUCUUCUUGUGUACUAUUUGCCAUACCCAAUUUGCUUUGCGGCAAGAAGUAGUCUCUAUGGUAACAUCUCUCUCUCUCUCUUCUCUCUGAUCAAUGUGUAUACUUUUUGAGUAAUAAUAUGUAAGGAUGAUUUAUGCUUAAGCAUGUGAACGUUGUCUGCACAAUCUGUAUAUUUUGUUGAACUUCGGCUUUUUCAUGGUUGUUUGCAUCAAUCGUUUUUUACAUGCCAACAAUAGUGACAAGAAAGACUAAUACCAGUAACCACUUAAUUGAGUUUCUUUUUAGCGCCUCAUCGUUUCUUUUUGUGACAAAGAAGACAAUUCUUAUUUGCACAGAAACGUUUACUGGUGAAUGAUGUCCAAGAAAAUGUAAUUGCUCUGACAGAAAAGUACUUAAUUAUAACAUGCAGCAAUGAUUAUCCUGUUUACUUACUUACGAAUCCUGUUGCAAACUUGAUCUGUUGUUCUAACUAUUGUUUUCAUGCAUUUUACAGGUUAGAACGAAUGAGUCACUUCUCCUGGAAAAGGCGUAAGUUAUUUGUUGAAUUAUACUUGAUUACACAUCAGUUUCUGUUUCAAUAUCCAACUAUAAACUUUUUAUUCCUCUUAGAUUAAGUAAUACUUUGUGUUCUAUUUUAAAUUGCCUUAAAAUUUCACAAUUAUGAUUAAUCAUAAUCUCGACGUGGCUAGCGUCAAUGUGGUGGUUGACACCCCGGAACAUUAUUACUUGGAAGACGCCUUCGACAACAUUGAGAUGAUAGAGGCAGAUGUGCAUUGUGUUGGAUGCAACAUGCUAUUGGGCCAGACAAUUGUAAGAUAUUCUGUACAAUUUUCCUCUUUUUGCAUGGCUUUCUGCUCCAAAUUAGGUUCAAAUAAUGUAAAUGAAUGUUACAUUCUUCAGAUUGCAGUGGAUUCAUUCCACGAAAGACUCAUAGAAGGAAGACUGAUGCUUGAAUUGUAAGUUAUCGAAAUAUAUUUAUGUAUGGUAUACAAAGUUUUUGUGGGUUUUGAUUGAAGAUUCUGUUCGUAGGCGGAAGCUGCUUUACUGGAAUGGUGAGCAGGUGAUAGACGCAAUCACAUUGCUUCCGCCUGAGCCUGAAGAGGACGACUAAAUUACUGUGAAGCAAUGAUAAUUAAUUCGAGGAUAUCACAGAAGGGCUCUCUUAGAAGUCCUAUUAAAAAUGCAAUUGCUGCGCAGGAUUCUUGUCCAUUUUCCUUCUUCUUUCCUUUUAGUUCGUCUUAUAGAUUUGUAUCUCUGAUGAGAAAGUGCAAUUUCUGUCCUUGUUGUUUCUCAAAUGUCCAUCAAGUUUCUGUAUAGAAGAAGCAAAGAAUAGAAGUUGCAGUUUACUGAAAAUUUCUGGUGUCUUCCAAUGAAAAUAUUCCAUCAAGUUUCUGUACUAAAUGCUACAGUUCAUUAACAUGAAAAUGCUACUAUAUAUUUUCUCCUCUAGAAUUACUUUCUACUCCCAAGUGAGUUCAAAUUUUGUUUCUCAAAUGUCCAUUCUUCAGGUUCAAUUGGAUCCACCCAAACCUGAUGAUGACUCUUUAUUCCCAGGAGGAAGAAUUCUUACCGCAAUGUAAGCUUAUAAAACGGAUAUGGCGUGACUGUUAUAACUUUUCAGGGUUUUGAUUGAUGAAUCUGAUUAUAGUGAUAAGCUGCAGUACUUGGUGGUCAUAGCAUAGUGGAAGGAAGCGGUUUGGUAGGAGCUUUGUUCAUUGUGAGGCAAUGAGUAUGGCAGAUCCUGGACAACUCGGGGGGCUAACUUGUGUCAAAGUUCAAUUAACAUUGGUUACCUACUGCACACGGCACAGGAUUCUCGUUUGUUAUUCUUUUGUUUCGUUGUUGUCAUUAUAGAGUUGUUCACUUGUUUGUCUUAGUACUCAGAAGUGAGAUGAGAAGCUGAAUUGUUUUUCUUAGAAUUAUAACAACUUUGAGACAGUAAAUAUUUCUGAUAAACUUGAGAUUGCAUAAGGACAGGGCUUACUCAGAAAGAUUUCGUUUUACAGCUCAGGAUUCUUUUUCUUUACUCUCUUUCCAUCUUAGUUCUUCUCAUUGCAGAUUUGUUUGGUUCUCUAAUUACUCAAAAACAUUCAAGACACGAGAGUAAUUUUGGUAGGUAGGUUUGAGAUAUACCCCAAAUUCAGAAAUAAAGAGAAGUUGCAAUUUACUCUAGAUUCUGACCAUUAUUUUUUCAACUGAAAAUCCUAUAAUAUAUUGCUUGUAAUUUUCGCAAUGCUCUUUGUAUAUUUUCAAAAACAUUUAUGUGAAGCCAAUAUCAAUAGCUUCAUAAUUCUUUCUGAGCCCGUUAUUCUGCCCGACCCAAUUUGCUUGCUCAUAUAGAAUUUCAGAAAUAUAAAUGUGUGUGUACAUAUAUAUUUUAAAAGUAUCACAUAAAUAAAAAAGAGCCCUUUAUUUAACUCAAAACUCAAAACCCUAAACCUAGAUCUUGACAAAUGAAACCUGCUCAAAAAGAAGCAGUGGCAGAGCGAUCUGCUGUUCGAUAUGAUCAGAAUCCUGACACACGUUUUUUCUUGUGUACUACUUGUCAUACCCACAUUGCUUUGUUGCGAGAACCGUUCUCCUUAGUAACACCUCUCAACUUUCUUCUCUUUGAUCAUAUAUAUGUUUGUGUUCAUACUUUUCAAAACCUAUUAUUUCAUAAUGCCAUACACUUAACACAUCGAACGAACCUUGAGAACAAAAUUCAAUUAUUAAUAUUGCGGCAAGCACCUUGUCGAUUGAUUGAAAUGAAUUUCGAACAUUAAUUCUCCCGUCGUCUAACCAAUUUUGUGAAUGCAUUUUGCAGGAUACGCAGACUGCAUCAGUCAUCCUAGAGAGUGUGUGAGAUAGCUGCUUGAAUUUUACUUUUUGGUUUGAUAAUAGAUAUGUUGGAAAUUUAAAUUUUAUAUGAUUCAAUGUGUUUUUGAUAAUUAAGCAGUGACAACUUGCUGAUUGACAGCUCAGAAACUCAUUCAAGGGUCAACGGAUCCACUGUGGCAAAUUUGUACUGUGUUGGAUGCUUCGCGCAAAUUGGCUACAAGUUUGUAAGAUCGUCUGUACAAUUUUUCCCUAACAGCGUAACCGAUUCAAAUUCUUGUAUCUGAAAAUGUUAGAUUCUUCAGGUUCAAGUGGAAUACUCGCAUGACAUAAUUCGAGAAGGAAGAAUUCUGAUGGAUUUGUAAGCUUCUGACUGAAAAUUAUACAAAAUUGCUUGUCAGUAUGUAGAAUAUUUUAUAUUGCCUUUUGGGUUUUGAUUGCAGGCGUAAAUUGUUGUUCUGGAAUGGUCAGCUGAUAAUGGACUCAAUGAGAAUGCAACCAAUUGUGGACGCAUUUCCAGAGCAAUGAUAAUUCAAGGACAAAUUACAAAGGGAGCAAAGGACUUUUUCUUUUUUUUUUUAAAUGUUCAUCCAUUUCAGUUAAUCUCUUUGUAUGAUUCUCUUGAGUACUUCAUUUUAUGCAAGUGAGAUGAUGGGAAAUUCCAAUUUCUAAAUUAUUGUUGAAGGAUUAUGAUUUUGUAAGAAAAAUGUAUCUAAAAUAGCAAUAUAUGUAAUUCAUACUCUGUCAUUGAACAUAGAUAACUAUAACACACUAAGUGCUGUUUGAAACACAAUUACAUCAUGUAUUUCUUUUUUACUUCUCUAAAUAGUCUUAGCUUAUUAAGGGGAAAGAAUAUCAUAGAAUAGAAAAGCAAAAGAAUACGUCAUCUAGUCUCUUGAAUGAUAAGCGGCUUGCAUUGUUCAAGAAACUAGAAUGAUACCAAAAAUGUUUGUUUGCUCUGAUUCUUCGAGUGGCGAGAAUUUAAUUGGGCAUCAAUAUCGUGGUGUGUUGAGGCUUUUCAAAAAAAUAUAAUUUUUAAUAUGUUAAUUUCUUUUAAUAUUUUAAUAACACCUUCACUUUAACAAAGUAAGAAUAUCUUUAUUAGAAUAUAUAUAUAUAUAUAUAUAUAUAUAUAUAUAUAUAUUAUAUUAUUAAUUUUUAUUUUAUAAUUAUAAUUUUUUCAACAAUUAUAACUUAAAAAGUAUAACGCCUUGAUACCAAAUGGGGGCUAAGUACCUUAUGCUUUUCUUGGAGGUCUCCUUUAUCAUAUUAUAUAAUAAACUUGCCAUCUUUAAGGAACGACAUGUGUUACAUACAAUAUUCAAAGAACCGACAUGUCAUGUAUUAUGCGGAUGACAUCUCCUUCUCAAAAUCAAAAUGGUUGGCGGAUGUAAACUGAAAAAACUGAACCUCCUUUUCCCUCAUCUUUUUCCCGUUGUUGUCCGUUGUAUUUACAUUUUUGUAUAUGGCAAGCUUCUUUUUGACCUCCCUGUUCAUAGCUAUCUUUAACUUCUCUUCUGUAAAAUACACGCUGAAUUAUCCUCGGUAAUUUUUAAACAUUUCUUCAAUAUUAUUGCAUUUGAAAAUGGGUGUGUUCCUUUCAAAAUGGUAUAGUAGUAAUGAAGUCAUGUUUGGCAAUUUAUUAACAUAAUAAAUUAACAUGAAUUUGUGUUGUGGCAUCAUUGUAUUAAUAAUAAUAUAUACGUAUGUUGACAAUUGAAAUGAAACUUUAUGGGACUAGUAUUUGUUGAAAUAAUCCCAUGUUUGACAAUUGAAAUGAAAUGCAUUGAGCAGCAUUAACUAAAGCCUUAUUACAACUUUUGCCGCAUUAUAAAAACAUGUGCCUCCCUUGUGUAUAAGCUGUAUUGUAACUUUUAAAAGAUAAAAUUAUUUAAUCAAUUAAAACAUAUUUAGUUUAUUUAUUAUUAAUUUAUAAAAUAAUAAAUUUAAAUACCAAAAACAUUGCCUACCACCAACCACCACAAUUCAUCGCCAACAAUAUUAUUUUGGUAUCCUUUGACUUUAAUAAUAGUACCAAUAGAAUCCUUAUCACUGGAGCUACUCAAUGCUGUAUGUACUAUAAAAAAUGGAGCUUCCAUUCGCUGUUCACUGUCCACUGUCCACCGUAGGUCUAUAGUCAGAGUUUCAUAAUAAAAACUUUGAUUGUAUGUUUACAAUGAUAGGAAACUCCAUUGCUCAUGAAAAAUGUAUUGUUGUGUAGAUCCCAUUAUGAAGAUUCUAGUGGCACCAAAAUUGAAGUCAAAAUAUAUCGAAAUAUGAAUCUUGGCAAUGGUUCCCAGUGGCUCACGAUGCCAGCUGUGAGUAAUUUUAUUUUUAUUUAUAAUUAAGAUAAUAAAUUUAAUAAAUAUAAAUUAUAAAACUUUUAUGUAUUUAUAAUUAUAAAAAUUAAUUUAAUAUAAAUAAUAACAUACAAAAUUAUUAUAUAUAAUAAUAUAACACCAAACAUUGUAUAACAUUAAUAUAAUAUAAUGCUAAUGUAAUAUAACUAAAUGUAACACAUCCUUUAUUAAUUAAUAUAAUAUAUUAUAAUACAAAUAUAGUGUACCAAAUACAUCUCAUAAACUUUAUCAUGCUCACAACAAUAAUUAAUGUCGUGAAGGCCUGAACUGUGAACUGCUUCCUCAUGUUAGGCCCAAGUCAAGAAAUGUAUUUAGGACCAAGACCAAUAAUACUUGGACCAUAAUCUCGAUUAAUUACUACCCAACAAUGAAUUCAAUACUUCGAGGGUUGACUAUUGGCACCCUUUCAAAACCCUCUUAAAACCCAUUAGAGUAUUUUAUGAUUUUAAUUUUUGUUAAAAUUACAUUAAAGGACAAGACAAAGAUACAUCUAAUUAAAUCCACAAAUAAAACACAAAUUGUUUUCUUCAUCAAUGAUUUUCUUUUAUCAUCAAGAUUUCACAAAAAACUUACUAAAACCCCAAAGUAUUAAGCAGAUUAUUAAAAAAAAAAACUCAUCCAAGAAAAGCUUAAAACCCCUUGUCUUAAGUCGUCCUAAUUCUUUAUAAGUUGUAUUUAUUGACAGGUCGCAUUGCUAACAGUAACAACAAUAUUAAAAAAUAAUGGCCCAAUAAAAAUUAAAUUAAAAAGAUGUUACUUCAACAAGAGAUGGGAAAGAACACAAGGCCGGCUUUAAGCAUAAGUGAGUUAGGCGGUCGACCUUGAGCUCUAUGUGUUUAAGAAGGCCUUAUUGUGAUCACGUUAGGAAUACCUUUUUUUUAUUAUUUCCUUGAUAUAUUUAAAUUAAUAAAUAUCUUUUUAAUUGAUAAUAGGAAAUAGGAAAGUCAAUUUUUAGGUCUCUCUUUAAUCAAUAAUUACGCUACAAUUAAGAAUUUUUGUACAAAUUUUAUAUUCAAUAACCUUAAUGUUAAAGGGCUAUAAUUAAAAGUAUUAUAUAACCCAUUAAUUCAUUAUUAAUAUUUCCAAGAAAAAGAUUAUGUUCUUUAUUUGUAUUCUUUACAAUUAGAUAAUCACUGAGACUAGUUUACUAACAUUGCCUAGAUAAGUCCCGUUAGUUUAUAUAAUAUAAUAACUGAUAUUUACAAUCAGACAAUUACUUACUGAUAUUUACAAUGAGAUAAUUAAUGAGACUAAUUUACAUAUUAUUCUAAUUUAUAAAUUUAAUUUUUUUUUUAAAUAGAGGACUUGGAUUUGGCCAGGACUUUUUUUCCUAAACUCUUGUCCAGAUCCUCAUACGGGAGCCCCGAGCCAAAGCUCGUAGGAUGGCCAGGGCCAACUCAAAUUUGGGCCGGCCCGAAUUUUCUUACCGUCCCUGCUAGCUUUGGGACUUGGGAGUUGAAAAUUAGAAACAAAUGAAUUUGUCUUUGCGAAGAGUGAGAGAGCAAAAAUUAAAAUUAAAAAAAUCAUAAAAAAGAGAGAAAGUAAGUCAUUAAGUUUCAGCUACUUGACUAUCAUUUUCAGGGUAUUCAACUCCAGCUCUUGAGAUGCUUCCAUCAGCCAUCAGCAUGCUAUACUCUUCUAAAGUCUAAACCAUGCUCAUUAAGUUUCAGCUCAACUAAUCUUCUAUACACAGUGUAAACCAGAUCUGGCUAAAAGCUACUCUCUCCUUGGACGUUAAAAACACUAAAACCACUCACUCUCCAUUUCAACUCAGUUUGGGCUUGUCUACUUAUAUAUAGCUGUCUACUAAUCUCUAAGCAAUGCAUCAGACAACUUAAAACUUCUGUGACUAAAUAAAAAGGUCUAAUCAUUGCUGAUUAAUUACUUUCUCACCAAUUAAAAAUAGCCAGCUCAAAACAAGUAUCAGGGAUGGGACAAAGGAGACACAAGGGAUAAUGAGAAGCUAAAAAAUUACAAGCAACCGCAGAGCAUAUUGUGUACAAGUGAACAAGCAAGACAUUUUUUAUUUUUUUUUACAGUAACCGGGAUAGCAAUCCCCUGUCUCAUCUCACUUUCUAAGUAUUCAAAAUUCAAAAACAGAGUAUGGUUUUUUGCCCUGAUUUCUGUCAACAAAUUGUAGAAAAAGUCACACAAUUCCUAGAAUAAGAAACAAGGAAAGAAAAUAGCAUUGUCUCUACAACAAGAAGUGAACGGCCAACAGCUAAUAGCUUGAAUCCCAAUGAUCAGACCAUAGCAUAUUGCAGCAUUCUAAUUGAAAGACGGCACAAUUCACUACAGAUUGAUGGUGGCAUCAUUAUCUUCAAGUGAGAUCAUCUUCAUUGAGCUCCAUCUCCCAUUCUUCAAGGUUGUUUCCAUCCCAUGGUUGCAGUGUUUUUGCUUCUAGCAUUUGGUUACCAUCCCAAAAGAGUAGGCUCUUCCUGCAAAACAAGUUUUCAACCAUAACCAAAUAUAUUAUAAUGCAAUAAGCCCCCUUGUUUCACAUAGCAAAGAACUUACAAAUUCAAACCAAAUUUUCCUUCUUCAUAGUCAUAGAGAUAGUUGCUGUGAUUUCCUUCUUGAAUCUGAAGAAUGGAACAUUAAGGCACAAAAAAAAAAUUACUUAAUAUGUAAAAGAACGAUUAAAAUUCUAGAGGUGAAAUAUCUUUAAAAGAAAUCUUACACAUUUGCUGCCCAAUUCCUUGUGGCAGCCAGAGCAUUGCACAACUGCUAAAAUAUGACCAUCAAGCAUAAUAUGAUUUUCUGGAGUAGUAUCAAUCACCACGUUGUCUCUGCACGUCAACCAUAAAUGUAAUUAAUCAUCGACAAAAUAAAGUGGCUCACAAAAGAAUAUUAAAGAGAAGUUGGUGAAGUUCAUAUAAAAUGAAAUUAACGUCAACCCAACAAAGAAAAUACAGAAUUCCCAAACUCUGUUACUGAAAUAGAAUUGAUAUGCUAACAAAUAACUUACAGAGUUGCAGUGUGAACAGUCUUAAAUUCUCUGUGCUGCAAAAUGCAUAAAAUGGAAACCAAAUGUUAGACCAUAGGAUAUAAUGAUUAAAUCCUUCUCCUAAGCAGCAAUGAAAUUUCCUUAAAACACUCAGUUUUGUGUAUAAAGCCAAGAAGUAUCUAUAAAAUCAAGUGCAAAUUAUAAAAGGCUGACUAUCUACUCUCUAACCAUAGGGAAAAAGAUAAAAACAGUAUGAUCAAGAAAGUUGAUGUAACAAAUUGAACAGAGGAAGAUGUUACUUUCAACAAUCCAGUAGUGGGAAGUUUGAGGCCACUACAGCACCAUCAAGAACAGAUAAACUCAGAGAAGAAAUCAAUUAUUUACUAAAACAAGCAUUCUUUAUGUUUUCGUAUUGGCACAUAAAGAAAAUUUACAUCAAACAAAAGAAAAGGAUGCUGAAACUGCUAAUUUUUCAUAUGGAACAAGAAUCGGAAUCAGGACUAAUAAUAUUGUAUACCUUGUUUUGGAUAAAAGCUAUGCAUCUUCUUUUGCAACAAACACACAUUAAAAAUUUGAAGAGCCAUUUAAAGCACUAAACCAAAUAUGACCAAGAAUCCAUUUGUGAGAGAUUAUUAUCCCCAUACCAUAAUUGUGAAGAAGAGAGCAAUCGAGCAUUUACUACCAAUUUAUGAAUUAAAAAACAUAAAACGAUGACUUGACAAUAACAGUGAACGAAAACUAGCUAAAGAAGAUUAUACUACAGUGACAAGUGCAGUCUGUGCACAUAUAUAUAUUUUUUUGAUACAUUGGAGCCUAGUAAAACUAGGCUAAAACAGAACAGGGAAUAGAGGUCCCAUAUAUAUCAUUAUAUAACCAAUAACCAAGACCCUCGGGAGGGUUUUCAAAGACAUGAAGUCCAAGGGGUAAGGAAUCAACAAGUUUCGCCAUGGAAUCUGCAGUUAUGAGAAAAAAAUCUCUCAUUAUGGUAAUGAGCCAUUGUCUAUUCAUCAGUUCCUUUAUGGCAGUUAUGAGAAAAAAAAUGUACAUUAGGCAUCAAGCUAGUUGAGGAAGAGCGCUGGAAAAAGCAGUGCCAAUCCACCUCUGCAAUGAAGAAUAAGCGCAAGUCUAAGAAAAGUAAAGGCAAGGCAAGAACAAGCAUUUACUUACUACAUAAGCGCAAUCUCGAAGCAAGCAAAUAUGUGUGCUGCACUUUCGGCAGAGGUAGUAUUCGAGCCCUGGAUUGUACAAAACCUCGUGGUUGUAUGCCAUUGCAGGUGCUGAGAAACGAGACUCGGAAUACAGUGCAAGAAACUAAUAGAAAUGACUAUCCGAAAAUUAUUCGAGGAUUAACCGCGUGGCUCGUCGCCAAAAAGUGGAGGUCCCACUAAGAAGCUGUCAGGUGGCAUUGUUUAUAAUAUUUAGUCAUCCAUCUUUUUGUCACAGACUGUGCCGAUAGAUAACUGAAUAAUUUAUACCUUUGCUUAAUAUCCUGAUAUUAAGAAAUUUCAAAGUGAAAUUUUGAUCGUAUUCCCCUUAAUAGAGAUUGAAGCCCGCUUUGUGUAUCAGUAAGUGGACUGACUUUAUAUGCAGUCAAAUCUGGAAACACAUUUUAAAGAAAAUUGCAAUGUGAAAAGGGCUGGUGCUUAACUGACUUAACAAACCAAAAUUAUUUCGGGCGGAAACGGGUGUUGUUCUGGUGUGCCCAGUUGUGCACUGUUAUGGCGCUCCACUUCAAGAGUGUUAGCAUUCCAUUGGGGAAUGUGGGCCCUACUAUUCAGCACCCACUUGGAAGCUGAUACGUGCACAGUUGUAUCAUCCGUGCUAGGUAGAAAAUCAUCUGCCGGCCAAAGGAACUAAGUGCCAAGAGUUUUUUUUUUUUUUUUCCCCCUCAAAUUAAAGAAUACGUAUUAACUUUCAACACAUAAUCGCACUAGACAAUGAAUAAAAAUUAAUAAAAUUUUAAAAAAAUGCAUCUCCAUGCAUGAUCUGUAAAAGUCAUGUGGAGAAAAUAUGACAAGUAACAAAAAGCUAACAAAAGUUAAUUCGUAUAAGAAAAUUAUAAAGAAAUCCGUCAUUGAAAUGAGUGGCUCCUAAAUUGAAUCCCGCCUCUGAAGUCUCAUUUCUUGAUAGAACCAUUCAAUGAACUUGUCAGCCCUCUGAUCAACCGAAUCAUCUUCAUCCUCCACCAAAUCCAACGGCUCCCCACAAACUUCACCAGUAACAGCAGCAGGCAGAGUUUCCAGCGCCAAGGAAUAUGGUGGAGAAUUAUGAUGAACUGCAGCAGCUUCUGCUCCUUGAACUUGAAAACCACCAGAGCAUUUACACAGAAAGAACAUGGAACAAAUGUCCUGAAAAACAUCUGUUCUUGUUCAACUUUCUCCUGCGGUAAUGAAUAAGUGGAGUUUAAUGGCAAUAGAGUUUUUGUCCCUAACUUGUCCCUGAAGUCUAUUUUUCUUACAAAAAUGCCCCUUGAUAGAGAUUGAAGCUUGCAUUGCUUUGUGGUAUCAGUACGUGGACUGCCUUUAAAUGAAGUUAGUAAAGCUAAUUUAAUAAUUAAUUCUAAGAGUACUUGCCAUUUAUGAUUCAAGCAUACCACCGUGCUUGACUUUCUACGUGAAUAACGUAUAUCAUUUAUUUAAUUACAACAAUACUCAUUGGAAUCAUAUAGCAAUAGCAAUAGAAAGGCAAAGACAGUUUAAGCUGCCCUUUAAUUACACAAAAUACUCAUUGGGAUCAUAUAGCAAUAGCAAUAGAAAGGCAAAGACAAUUUAAGUUGGCCUUUAAUUAUAUACAAUACUCAUUGGGAUCAUGUAGCAAUAGCAAUAGAAAGGCAAAGACAAUUUAAGUCUUAAUUACGCAGAAUACUCAUUGGGAUCAUAUAGCAAUAGCAAUAGAAAGGCAAAGACAUUUGAAGCCGCACCUAAGGGCCUGACCAAUUGAUUUUUAUUUUUUUAAGUAGAUUUAUUUAGCUUUUUUAUUUGUUAAACAAAUUUAUUUAGCCAACUACCUGGAUUCGAAUCAUAAAUUUAAAUAAAGAAUACGUCAUGUUAACUAUACAACAAGUAAAUGAUGUAAUAACACGUAUAUAUUUAUUUUAAAAAACCACAAUACAAGUGGUGGUUAUAUUAAAUUUAAUUACACACAUCAUAUAUGCAUUAGUUGAUUGUAUUACCUCUAAUGUAUUUUAAAAUUUCCCUUGUAAGUCUAUUUUUAUUACAAAAAUGACAUUUGACUGAUAUUUGAAGCACACUUUGUGGCGUCAGUAAUUGGACUACCUUUACAUGUAGUUACUAAAGGUGAUUUAGUAAGUCUACAAGGGACUGUGUGUGUGUGUGUGUGUGCACGCGCGCGCUCUAUCCACAAUGCAUGAGUUUCUUUAAAGUUCCAAGUAAAUUGAUGAGCUUUAAUAAUGAUUCUUAUGAGUAGAUAGUAUGAAUGAUACUAGUGAUAAGCAUAGGAUAGGUUGAAAUGCAAACUUGCUAUGAUAGAUAUAACAUGAACAAUCCAACAGUAGUUAUUUAAUACUAAAAAAUGAGAGUCUGAAAUAAAAGGGAGAUCAUGAGUAACUAAGUCAAGAACAUGAAAUAAAAGGCGAAAAUCUUAAAAUUUUAGCAUUCCAGGGAAACUAACUUUAAAACUAAAGUGAACUAACUUUAGUUUGUAUUUAUUGAGAUCUCCUCUCAUGAUUAAAUCUUUUAUGGGAUAAAAUUCACUUAAAGGAUUGGUGGUUAAUAAAUUAAAAAUAAAAUAAUUAAAUUUUAAUUAUACACUAACACUAAAGAACAAAUAAAAUUAAGAGAUCAUUGAGAAAGAAUUCUAAUCCGUAUAAAAUAGCUAGUCGUCAAAUAAUUUUUCAUGCCGUGGAAGACUCUGAGCUGCAGACAAUUUUUUGCGUCUUUAAUUUUUUUGUAACCAAGUACUCGGACCGCGAGAAAUUAAAAGGGAAAAAGAACAGUAAUAAAACAAAUAAAUAAAAAAGUAACCAUACAGUCUCUUGCAAAUUUUGUAAUAACCAUACAGAUUUUGAGUACUCGGGACAUUAAACGAAUACAAAUUAAAAAAAAAAAAAAAUCUUGACGACUUUCAUUCAAUAAAUCUGCUUAAAUCUUAAGAGGUUCCUCAACUGGCUGCAAUGUUUCGGCAUCCAGAAUCUGAUUACCAUCCCAGAACAAUAAAUCCUCCCUGAAUUAAGAUUCUUCAAUUAAAACCAAAAAAUUGAAAUGGAAAUAACUAAAUCUAACGAAGAGAAAUCUUUUUGAGAGUAUUUUUCAGUUUAAAAAAAAAAGGGAUACUUACAAAUACAGUCCAAAGUUUCCUUGUUGGUAGAGACAACUACUUUGAUAAUUCACUUGAAUCUGAAAUCGCAGUACAAUUUUCAGUUAUAAAAAUGUGUAUAACUCGGUUAUUAUUAUUAACUCACUCAUUUGUUGAAGGUCAAACCUAAAACCUAAGUUUUAAGAAGGCCGCUUCUUCCCACUGGAGCUUAACAGAAAGUUAGAAACUUAAAUACAAAGGAUAUAUAUGAUCUUACACAUUUGAAGCCCACCACAGUCUUGCAUCCUGUGCAAGUUACAUACGCUAAUGUCACAUCACCAAUUUUAAAAUGAUUGCCUUCUGUUGGAACAACCAAGUUGUCACUGGAUGUCAAGCACGAGAAAUUAAUCACAAUGCAAAAUUAAGGGGAGUUAAUUUCUUAAUUCAACAUGUCAACAAAUGUAACUGAGCAAAUAAAUUACUUACGGAUUCGAUGCAUGAACUGAACGAUUUUGUGCAUGCUACAAAAAUACGUUGAAAGCAAUUGUUAUAACAAAUAUAAUUCAUUGAUAUUACGUACGGUGUGUAUGCAAUUUUGAAUCAAAAGAAUGUGGGUAUGGCAGCUACGGCACAAAUAGAACUGUGAAGAAAAACAAUCAUAAACAAUUGCUUCUUUGUCACCUUCCAUUGUAAAUCUGAUUGAUCAAAAAUAUCUCUCGGAAACCAAAGAAUCGUUAUGUCAAGAAUUGCAUGUGUUAAUUAGAGAAGUAUCUCCUCUUAUAAUGAUUUCAUGAGGAUGUUUCCUACUCGAUUUGUAAUUAAUAAUUGAAAAAAAAAAGAGUUUAACCUGUGGAAGAAAAAAGAAUUCGAGUUAUAUUAUUAUUAUUAUUAUUGCUGUUGUUGAAAAUAACAUUAAUUUGCAGCUUGAAAUAAUUUAAUACGACUCAACUACCUACAACCCUACAACUGUCUUUAUUUGAAUCAUAUCCAAAAGAAUUGUGUCUCGAAUAUCGAUCUGUAAUUAACGGAGUUUAAGUUGUGUUAAAAAAAUAUGAGUUGAAAAUAGCAUUAACUUUUAAUUUCAAUACAUUGAUUCAACCACGAUUGUCUUGUUAACAUUGACUCAACUAUGACUGUCUUGUUAAUAGUGUACUGUGUCGAAAUGUUUGUCUGUAGUAACAAUAAGGAUCUUAUUAAGUUGCAAUUAAUAUAAUUUACCUAUUUAAAACACGUAAACAUAAGUAAUAUAAUAAUAGAAUUCACUUAAUUUUUAGAUCAUUUUAAGUUGGCUGUAAUUGUAACUUGGCAAGACCCUAACAUUAAGCAGUUUACGUACAAGUCAAACUUCUCAUUAGUUUUACUUUCAGAGGUUAAUGCAUUCAUGUGAAAAAGUAAAUUGGACUCCAUGCAAUUGGCUGAUUGGUGGGUCAUAUAGUUCGCAUUCGUCCGAAAGAAAAUCCUGAAUGUAGGACAUGGACAUGUAUACGGAGUGAGGGGAAAUUUUGGAUUAGUGUAACAAGAAAACUUUUGUUUCUUUUCAAAGAAACUCGAUUUGACUUUUUCAUUUUUGCAUUUUGUUUCUUUUGAUUAGUAUUAUAUUUGGAGAUAAAUUCUUGAACUCUGGCAUAAAUGUGAGGAAUUCCAAGGUAUUUCAACAAUCGCUCCUUUAGUAUAAAGAGAAGUAGAUUAAAACUUUUUGUUUACUCAACUUUUUAUGAAUAAAUUGUCUUGUUCAAUUUUUUUUAUGGGUCAAAUUAGUAUCAUAGCCUACGCUUUCCUUUUCUAUGGCACCAAAGGAAGAUGAUGGAGACAACCGACUUGUUGAUGACGAUAAGAGGAUGAAGGCUCUGGUGGCGGAAGAUGGCCCCAACAGAUGAGAGAGCGUUGCCGCGGGAAGGAUUUUAGGAAUCAUGAUCAGAGGAAGAUUCUGAUGAGGAUAUAUGGGUGUUUUAUCUGUCAAUAUAUGGGUGUUUUAUAUGUCAAAGGCAAGGGGUUCUUGCAUGUAAAACUUUUUUUUUCAAAGAUUGGUUGAAUAGUGUGGAAAAUUUAUUUGACAUUGCCCUAGUUUGAAACUGAUUGCUUAAAUAAUUAAGUUCAAGGCGCAUAGUGUACAUAGAUGAUUGUAAAUUGGAGGCGAUAGUGGGAAUUAAAAUGCGCCAAUUCGAUUAUGGGAGAAGGUGAAGAAGCAACUGAAGGCGCAGUUCUAUCAGCCAGAAAACAAACACCCAGUUCAGCUGAAAGAUGUAACAUCUCAUACCAACACAUUAAAAAAGUUUAUAAAGCUUUUUAUAUAUGAAGAAACUGAAUUAUUGUCUUAUGUAUGCUGCAAAUUUAUAUAUAUAAAGAAUCUUGCACUAAAUGUACACAAUAAUGAAAUUCCAUGUCAUUAAAAAACCAUCCCCAAAAUUAAAAUUUUCAAACAACAAUACUUGUAUGAUCGGAGUGAUAAUCAGAAGAACCUGACCUCAAAGAAAAAGAAGCACUCUGGCGCUGUUAACCCUGCAUAACCUACCAAUCAGCCGUGCACCUUUUAGCUUAAGCUCAGAUUUUAUUUUGCAAAUUUAUAAUUAUCAACAACCGCUCUUUCUCUUUUCUCCCAACUUAUAACCCAAAACCAAGCACUUGAAUUCUUUCGUUUCAUCACUCUCUUUCUUCUUGGAUUCUCAUUUCUCUCAACUGAUAGCCCAAAAUCAAGAACUUAAAUUCUUUCUUUACUCUCUCUUUUCUUGAGGCAUUUCUUCUCAAAAAGCACUUGGCAUUCAAGAGAUCCUUGAUCAGCUUAAUUCGUAUAUAAUUCUCACGUACAAUGUGAAUCCUUGUGUAUUUGUUUCUGGUGAUAAUUAUUUGGUUACUUUAUACAGCAACAGUUUCUUGGAUUGUUAAAAACCUGGAAUUAGAUUUAGGGCCCGUUUCGAACAAGAAUUUACAUAAAUCUAUAAUAGAGUAGCUCUGGUGUCAAUUAGCUUCAACUACUACCCUUUUUGCUUCAGAAUUUAUCCUUAAUUUACUUGUUUUGGAGAUAAUGCCUUGGUCUAACAGUUGUUUUCAAUUCGUUUUGCAGCAUGUACCAACUCGGUCAAUGAUCAUAGAUAAUGGGUAAUAUAUUUCUUGAAGAUUAUUUAUUGUCUUUGAUAACUGAUGCUUAAGGAACCAUCUGAAACUAUGAUUUUGUUAUGUUCUUGGCAUGUAGUUUCAAUCUGCUGGUGCCCUAUCCAAGAAACUAUUUGAGGAUUCGCAUUUACACUUGGAUAGAGUUGCAUUGUGUUGUAGGCCGCAGGUUUCUAAGCCAUAAAACCUUAAGAUCUUCUAGACAUUUAUCAAUCUCUUCCUAGAAUCUCUUUUCAAGUCCAUGAAAUAUGUCAAGUCGUUUAUUGAUGUUAUAAUGCUAGCUAUCUUACUUUAUUCCUGAGAAGGAAGAGUUUUCGAAACAGUGGAAGCACUGAAGAAUAUACAAGUUCCAUAAUUCCAGUAUACCUUUUGGGUUUUGAAUUUUGAUUGAAAAACUUUGAUUCCAUUAUACCUUUUGGGUUUUGAAUUUAGUAAAUAAUGGCGAACCAAAAAGCAUACUAUCAAGAACUAUAAUAAUUAAUUAAUUUCAAGGAGUCAAACAAGCACUUGAUUAAUCUAAACUUAUUGAUGAUGAAAGUCACAUAAUUAAAAAAAAAAUAGUUUGAGAAAAAUGGAUUUUUAUUUUUAUACAAAGUAAGGGUAAUUUGGUCUUUGUCAUGUUAAUUGGUCAUAUCAGUGAACAAACUAAAGAGUGAGCACAUUGUGAAGCCAAAAAAAAAAAAAAAAAAGGAGCGAGCAUAUUGCUGAAAAGUAUCACUUUUUAGUUUUAUGGCGUAUCUAUUAUCUAAACAAAAAACUCAAAAUGUUUGGGUCAAAUUCAAUUUACCCAUAUGACGAAAUUUACAAACAUUGGUUUACUCCCAAAGAUCCCAAAAAGUCAUCAAUGCACACUAGGGAUGGCAAUGGGGAGGGGAGGGGAGGGGACCGAUCUCCCCGUACCUAUCCCCGAUAUUUUGUGUAUGUUUCCGUCCCCUCUCCGUCCCCGUCAGAAUUACUUGAGAGAAUCCCCAUCCCCUCCCCGUCUCCGUCAGAAUUACUUGAGAGAAUCUUCAUCCCCUCCCCGAAUAAUAACAGGGGAUCCCCGAGGGUCCCCGAUCCCCGAAUAACUAAUAUAUUUUUUUUUUCGAUCUUGAGUUAAUCAUAUUAAAAUAAAAAAUUCAAAUAAAAGUAAAGUUCGAAAUAUAUCUUACAUUAAUAUCUAUUACAAAAGUCACAUACAUUAAAUUAGUAAGUAACGCAACAUGCAAGGGAUACAAACUUCUUUUAUAAACUAUUAUGAACAAAUUAAUAGUCUAAUACAAAAUUGUUACAAAUAAAAUCGAAUUUAGAUUCAAAAUUAACUUUUUCAAUGGUGGCGUGGGCACUUUAUAAAUGUGGACUAUUCCCUUUACAACACAAUAGUUAAAUCGGAGCAAAUCAAAAGCAAAUAUUAGAUUAGAUUAGAUUAGAUAUUAAAAUUGUGAUUCGCUGUGGGCAAUUAUAACAUCUAAAAAUAAAUAAAAAAUAGAUUUAAGUUUAAAAUAUUUAAAGAAUAUUAAAAUUAAAAAAAAUGUUUGGCUAUUAGAAUCUACUCGGUCUUUUUAAUGUCCUAAAUAAAAAUUUAAGACUUUAAUUAGUUAAUCUAAAAGUUUAAUAAUAUAAAUAUUUUGAUAUUUUUUAUUUUUACCAAUAUUUAUAAUUUUAUAAUUUAUUUACUAGUAAUUUUAAAAAAUUAAAAUAAAAUUAAAAAUUAAAAUGGGGAAAUGGGUAGGGGAUGGGGAUUCCACCUCAUCCCCGUCUCCUCCUUGAAUAAGAAAUUGGGUAAAAAAAUUUUUCCGUCCCCUUCCCGAAUAAGAAAUUGGGUAUGAAAUUAUCCCCAUACCCUCCCCGAAUGGGGAAAAUUCUCGAGGAUACCCGUCCCCGUGGGAAUUUUUGCCAUCCCUAAUGCACACCCUUUUUAUUUGGGUUUUGCUAAUGUUUUAUAUAGAAUGAUAAUCUUCGCCCGAUCAAAAUCUACUCUUUUGCUAUAAUUAUUUUACUAAUUAAUGUAUUUGUAUAAUCCAAGCUUACAUCAGAAGAGAAUUUGAUUCGUUUUAUUUGGGUAUUGCUGAUGUUCCCUUUCAUGAGUACGUUUGGCCAGUUCACUUCAAAGAAAUUAUUUUUUUUUUUUUUUUGAAAGGUCAAAAAAUAGUGAAUUUUGAAUAUGGUAAAGCACUAAAGUUAUUUCUACUUUCAAAUCUACUCUGGACACUUUUAAUAUAAUUAAAUUUUAUAUUACUUAAAUGUCCAUAAUUUAAUUGUUAUUAAGGACAAUUUAUACUCUUCACACCCAUAUUGAGCACUCAUUAAAAUUUAUUUAGUGAAGUGAAUGAAUCUUUAAAGACUUUAUUUUAUUUUAUUUUAUUAUUUUACCUUUAACUUAACGGUUGAUUCUUAUCAUAAUUUUCUAAUCAUGACUAGAGAAAGUCACCUUCUUUGGUUUCUUAUGUAGUAGUGAAUUGAAAAUUAAAAAUCAUGGACCACUUCUUCUAGAGGAAUCUAGAAAUUGUCAUAGAUUAUUUUUUUUAGAAGAAGAGAAGGAGAAGGAAAGUUAUUUGGGUGCAGUAAAUAACUUUAUGGCUAUAGAGAGAAAAAUAAAAUAUUUAUUACACGUAAUUUAAUUGAGAACUAUUUUAGUAUUUAUAAGAGUAUGUAGAAUAAAAAUAAAAAUUUUAAAAUUAUUAAAUGAGCGGACAGAAAAAUAAGAUGUUUGGAGUAUUCUACACAUCGACACUUUGACAGUAGACUGUGGGUCCCAAUUAGGGACUUCUUUAUUUCGACUUUGCGAACGAUUAAGACGAUGUCGCCUCAUUCUCAAGACGACAGUUACAACCGAGAAUCACCGAAGCUGCUUUUCCCUCCACCCUUUUCCUUCUCCUUCUCCUCCUCUGUGAUAAAUAAAACUCACGAUCAUCAAGAUUCAAGAACCCCUCCCUCCUUCUCUUAAUCUCUUUCAACAAAUAACCCAAUUGAAAUAUCAGAACCAAGAACUGAAAUUCUUCCAUCACUUUCUUUCUUUUCAACCAUUUGUCCAUUGCAGCUGCUAUAAGAUUGAUUUUUAGUUCAAAGCUGCAGGAUUUUCUUGGAGGAUUCUUUUUUAAGAGCAUUUAGAGAGUUGCUGAGAUCUUUGAUCACUUGAAGUUGGAAUGGCAGAGUGCUCUGAUAUUGUUAAUUUUGAUCAUACUCGGCAAGGCAUUAAGUUCUACAUGUGCCGUGAAUGCAAAAUGCAUAUUGCUUUGGUUGGAGAUAAUGAUAUGGCUGUACGUCUUUUUCUCUCUAAUCAUCUUGUUGUACUUCAUAAUUUCAUUCGGGUGCUUUUUCUUUUCUCUGCGCGCGUGAUUGAGUCUGCUUGAGUUUGUUUACCAAGAAAGGCCAGAUUCUUUGGACAUGAAGCGACCCCAUGUUCUAAUAAUAAUUUUUGCUUACAAUACAUUCUGCAGCAUGGGGAUACUUGGUCAAUCAACCUGGAGACCGCGUAAGAUAUUUUCUUCAACUACACUUGAUGAGACAUCCAUUGAUAUUUUCAAUAUAACUUGAUAUAUUAGAAUUUGUAUUUUUUUGUGAUGAAGUACUAUUCCAUUAGAAAGUAUGACCCCAUUGUUGUUUGACAUAUAGAGUGAACUUGGUGAAAAGCAUCCCAGAACAUUAUGUGGCCUCUGGCAGAACCAAAAUGGCAUAUAUGUCUUGUAUUUACUGCAGAACACCCUUGGGCUGGCAAUAUGUAAGAUCAUAUUUUGCACCUGUAGUUUCUGUCUUCUGCAUCAAAUGAAUCAAAAUAUUCAUGCAUUAUGUUCUUUCAGGUUGAAGUUGAAUCUCCCACUAAUUUGAUCAAAGAAGGAAGAGUCAUCCUGUAUCUGUAAGUUUGUGAAUCAAUAAGAGUAUCUGUAAGUUUGUGAAUCAAUAAGAGUCAUCCUGUAUCUGUAAGUUUGUGAAUCAAUAAUGGAACUUCAGAACAUACAAAGCUUUGCCACGGGGCUUGCUCCUGAAUGUGGGUUUUAUGACUGGGUUCUGAAUUUUGAGUGAAGGCUUUUAAUUUCAGGGACAGGUUGCUGUACUGGAGUGGUGCCGAGAAAAUAAGAGACGUAAUCACUAGUCACUAGACGAUAACCGGGGUAAUGACAUAUAUAGUUCAAUUACAUCAGAGCAGCGGUAGCUAGGUUAACAUGCAAUUGCUCCACAUGAUUCUUUUCCGUUUCUGUUUCUCCAUUUAGGUCAAUUCUUUACGGAUUUGUUUAAUCUUCUCUGUACUCUGGAUAUGAUAUAAGGAGAUGAAUUGUUUUUUCAUGGUUACUAUUAGUGAAUAAAAUAAGUGAGGUUAUUAUUGAAAUGGAUAAUAUCAAUUAAAAAUAGUUGCUGGACAGAUGUAAUAAAUAGAACUAUAGUUGGUUGACACCUCCUAUUAAAUUCACUAUAAAAGAACACUAGGAAAAAAAAGGAAUAUAGAAGCAGAGCAAGAAAGAAGAAAGCAGAGCAAGUAGGAAGUCAAGCAAGAAGCCAUAAAGAAGUCAAAAAGCCAAGAAGCCAAAGAAGAAGUCCAGCAGCCGAGAAGACAUAAAGAAACCGAAGAUCAUAAGCUGAAACAGAGAGUACUAGCAGGAGCAAACACAAAGAACAGCAGCUUAUUUGUUUGUAACAACAGUUGCUACAAAGAUAUUUGAGGCGCUUGAAUACUUUUGGUAGCUUUGAAAUACAUCAAUCAAAAUUAACACCAGAAGCUGCUAUUCGCUGAAAAUUCUGGUGUUUUUUCACUCGCAAAUCUUUCGGUAUAUAUGUUUGCUUGUAAUGUGAACCAGCUUCAUAAUGGAUUGAGCCACUUACUUUUACUUGUUUGUUUGGCAUUUUGUGUCUGAUGACCAGGUUUCCAUAAUGGCAACUAGUUAGCCAACUACUGGUGUUUUCUGUAUUUUCUCCAAACAACGGGGACUGCCGUGUCAAUUACCCUUUGUUGAACCUAUAUACUUCACCACAUAUCGGUUGUACAUGAUUCUCACCAAGUCACCCUCAUCAGUUAUUUUUAUCUACAUGAACUUGUACACAUAUUUAAGAAAUUAACAUAAUUCUAAAUUUGCUGCACCAUUGGUUUCUAUACCUGAACCAAGAUAAUGUUAUUGAUUCGUAAUUUAUAAUUCUGAAAAAUGAAAUUUGACCUUUGCGUUUAUCUUUGUUAAAGAUUCUUUGAUGCCUAUGAGCUAUGAGCUAUGAAGAUUAUUGAAGGGAUAAGACAAAAGAAAGAUAUAUUAUAUAUAUCUUAUUAAAUAUCCCGAAGGCCCACGAAAGAACCAGAAAUUUCAUUUUACUUUAAUAAAAAGCAACCAGAUUACCAGAAUCCUCCUCAAAAUCCUAUAAAUAGGCCUCUUGUGACUCUCCAUUUUCAUCCUGAAAUUGAUCAAAGCAUUCAAGGAAAGAUUACUCCAACUCUUGAACAUUUUCUUAGCUUCAUAAUUUUCCAAUCAUGUCACUCAUUCCAAGCAUCUUCGGCGGCCGAAGAACCAACGUGUUCGAUCCAUCUUCACUAGAUGUGUGGGAUCCUUUUGACGGGUUCUUCUCCUCUGCCCUUACCAAUGUGCCGUCUUCGGAUAGGGAAACAUCCCAAUUUGCCAAUGCAAUAAUUGACUGGAAAGAGACUCCUCAGGCUCACGUAUUCAAAGCUGAUCUUCCAGGGCUGAGGAAAGAAGAAGUGAAAGUUGAGGUUGAAGAGGGCAGGAUUCUGAAGAUAAGCGGAGAGAGGAGCAAGGAGCAAGAAGAGAAGAAUGACAAGUGGCAUCGCGUCGAGAGGAGCAGUGGCAAGUUCCUGAGGAGGUUCAGGUUGCCCGACAAUGCUAAGAUGGAACAGGUUAAGGCCAGCAUGGAGAAUGGUGUGCUCACAGUCACUGUUCCUAAAGAGGAGGAGAAGAAACCUGAAGUUAAGGCCAUUGAGAUCUCUGGCUAAGUGAUAAAUGUAAAUGUUUUCAAGAUUGUGUCUAUGGUUUGCCAAUAAAUUUGGUACGAAAGCAAACCCCUUGUGUCUGUUCUUCACCCCCCCCCCCCCCCCCUCUCCUCUCUCCUUAAUUUGAUGCGAUAAUAUUUGUGUGUUUGCAAUUGUAAGUCUGAAACUUUGAUAACUAGUUUCUGAAAAGAUAAAUUGUGUAAUAAAAUGUAAUUUAUAAUUUGAAUAUUAGAUUUGCAAAUUUUUUGUUUUUGACGGAGCAGUUAUUUCCGACAACAAUCAUUACCAAAACAGAUUAGAUGCUUAAACCCAUGCUAGCCAUGGAUUCGAUCCAGCCACUUUCCCCUAUGGCUACCGGGGAAUAAUCAGGGAAGGUGUCUAAAAAAAGGAAGCAGAGGUUCUUCACUUCACGCGACAUAGUUACGCUCAGGUUUCACCAAUAGGUGCACCAGAUAGAUGCCCCCCUAAGACUAGGUAGCCAGACUUUCUCCCCGGCUUGGAUCGGGGAUAGAUUGUUGAUUUUGCGUUGCCUCCACCGGGGUGUCAUGGGGUUUAGGAAUUCUUACAUUCUGUCUUUCCGAAGAGUCGCUUAAAGUGUAUAAUUAAGAAAUAUUUCAUCCCAAAUUGAAUUAAGAAAAAUUGUUGGGAUGUUAAGGAUUAGUCUUGGUUUCGUCAUCAUCGACAUACAUAAAAUCCUAACACAGAGAGACAAGACACGUAUAAUAGGCUAGAAGAUCCUUAAAUACUCAACAGAAAAAAAGAAAUUGCUAUAUGUUAAAUCUUUGGAUUAAUGAUCUAUCAUAAUAUAUGUUAAAUCUUUUAGAGAUGCGCACUUCCGAUCCUCUAAGUUGGGAUUGUCAAUAAAAUUUUGUUCGCGCACCAGAGGCAGCUAGAAGGUUAGAGAAACAAGUGAUUUAUUGCACAAAAUUUAGCCUUGAUUUAAAACACGGCUUAAUUUCAUUGGGCGGGCCCUCCCAUUCCACUAAUUUGUAAAAGGCCUGAUCACACGAAGAACGUCAAGACGUUUCCUAAAAUAAUUGUAACCUACAUAUCGUAUACUCACAUUCUUGAGGACGACAUGUCGUUGGAGAUGAGAAGCCUAGCCGCUUUAACUUAGGAGGGAACCCGUCCGCUGUUUGGGCCAUAGAAGAAGCAGCGAUUAUGGCGAAAGCACAAGGCGCGCAACUCUUCGUCAGCAGUAUGUCCUCUCUCAAUCAUUAAAAUUAAUAUAUUUUCUCUGAAUUUGUCUAGGUUUUGAUUUCUGAUUUCGUUUAUAGGGUUGUCGUCGUACAUCACAACUAAAGAAUUCAAAGCUUUGUUUUCGCGGUUUGGUGUCGUUACGGAUGGUAAUUUUAGCAUAAUUUUCAUCAAAUGUUUUAAUUGAUUCUAUAGUUUUCAAAAUCAAGAUUAGUUUGUUAUUGUUUUGGGGCUUUUAAAUCGUGUGCCGGUGUCUGCAGCUAAGCUAAUAACGGACCCAAAGACUCAAAGACCGAAGGGGUUUGGCUUUAUCACAUUUCAGUCAGAGGAUGAUGCACAGAAAGCAUUAAAGACCAUGGAUGGCAGGGUACCAGCUCCUUUUGAUUUGAUUUAUGCAUUAUAGUUUUAUUUUUGUGUGUGUGUGUGUGUGUAUAAACAUACCUUUUUUUUGAGGUUUAUUCAUGUAUAAGGAUUUCACUAUGAAUUAGUUUUGCAAAAUCGUGGAAAAUGCUUGAUAGGAAUUAGGUUUUUCUAUAUUGUCCAUUGUAUGACUGCUAAUAAUGGCAACUCAUAGAAGCUUAUUAGUUUUCACAUUUUCUGAGAUGUUUGUUCUCAUGCACUGCAUUUAUAGCUUAAUUAAUUUGGUUUAACUCAUAUGGGUUUAUUAGUCAAGUUAAUUUUGUUUGUAAUAAAGGAUCCAUUCUUGUUGAGAUGUAAGACCAUACUAUUAGAAACUUCGUUCCAUAAUCAUUCCCCCCCCCCCCCCCCCCAAAUUGUUAUGUUGGCUAAGAAGAAUUUUACAAUUUUUACUAAUGAAAGAGUUGGGUAUUGAUGUUGCAGCCUAAUCACAGGUAAUAUAUAUUUGCAGUUAAUAGCUGUGUGGCUCUUCUCACUCCAGUAUUUUUAUUUCCUGAUUCUAUGUUGGAACUUCUCUUUUGUAUUAAAAGCAAAAUCUACUUCUGGGUUAUAUGCAACUCUUCCCUCGUACACUAUUUGUCGAUUUGAAUUCUAGUGUCAUUUAUUUCUAACUUCCUGACCCUCCAUGGUCUCUUUGAAUUGUUGCAAUUUUAGUUCGUUUUCUUUACAGUCUGCCUAAUGGCAGAUUUUUACAUCAGCAUUUCCGCAAUACAUGCCGCCAAAAUGCACUACUUUUGCUGCAUUUUGCAUGUGAUUAGGCUGCCUGCUGUUGUCGUGAAAUUAUAAUUCUUGACCUCGAGUCCUACCAAUGUCAGUUUAUCUUGUUAUUUUGCACAGAUUGUGAAUGGGAGGCUGAUCUUUGUUGAGGUUGCAAAGAGUAGAAGUCCUGGAACGGAUGCCAGCCCUUGAAAAUUAAGCAGUUUUGACUAUGUCAGUCCUUAUUAUAUCUGUUUUUAGCUUCGGCAACCAAAAAUAGUGUGUAACAUGUGAUAGGUUUUAUCACAUGGCAGCCUGUAUGAUAUCCGAGAUGUAAUCAAAUGGCCGCCUGUCAACCUGUGUGUCAUAUGAGAUCAAAUUGAAAUUAACAUUUUUUUUUGUCUGUGGUCGUGCAUCCAUUCUGUUAGUAGUAUAACCAUUUCAAGUCUUUGAGGCUGACAUUACAUCCCUGGUGAUUCAAACAAGUUCCUUUACUUGAACCACAGCAUCACACAACAAAGAAUAGAAGAAUGCAUAUAGAUUUGCUGGGAACUUUCAAGCCAGUUCAAUUAGGCAAUCUCUAUCUUACAUGCAUAUAAGAUACAUUCUCCUCACAUGAAUAGUAUAUGUGUGGAAUCCACACACUAUUCAUGUGAGGAGAGUGUAUCUUACAUGCAUGUAAGAUAGAGAGACCCGUUCAAUUAUAGAAAAAAAAUGUACGCGGAAACCAGGAUUUCGAAAUGUUUCAUCAUCAAAAAAUAAAACAAGUUACAUGUUUCAUCAUCAAAAAGAUGGAAGAAGUUGAGAAAGAUUCAGGAGUCUGAGUCGUUGAAAGGACAUAAUCUAAAAGUGAAAAGUUACAUUUAGAAAAUGAUUAGGUUGCAUGGCAGUUCUUGUUAAACGCAAUUGUUGCAUCGUUAGACCUGCAUAAAUCAAGAGCCAAACUGUUACCAUGUUCAGAAAAUUGAGUGUGUUGUUGAAAGGCUUAAAAAUUGUAAAUGACAAGUAGAAGGCGCUUUUGCAGCAACAGAUCACAGUGAUCUAGCUUUCUUAAUUAGCUCAUACAAUGUUUUGCUGCCGACACCAUUCCAUAAAGCAAUUCGACUUUGUUUCUAAAUCAUGCUUGAAGAUUAUUUCCACAUGAUUUCUAAUUUCAAAUUCUGUUUUCUUAUUUCCAAAUUCCACAACUGAAGAAGCAGUUUAUACUUUAAAAUGUCUGGAAUACAAGAAUGUGGCAUACGCUGUUGAAAAAUAAAUCCUUUUGGUUGUCGAUGUUGAUGAGCCAGUUGCUGUUGGACUGCACUACCUGUUGAGAUUAAAAUAGGCGCUAGAACAGCAACUGGUAAGGGGAAAAGGAAAUGGAAAACGCCACGGAAAGAAUCCUGGCAUCUCCUUUAUCCAAAUUCCUACCUCAUGGUGAUGGUAGGAACUAGGAACAGUGGGUGAUCAUCAAUCGACUAUGAAAUAAAGCAUGAUGAGCCUAGAAAUAGAAUUCAGUACGAGUAGUCUCAAAAGAAGAUACGGUUUAUCUAAACAAAUUCCCCUACUCAUUCAAUUUCAUUUGAUGCCAAGCCAUGAUCCUAAUGUGGCCUGAUUAAGUGAAAUAAACCUGGAAUGUUCAAAUUAAACUCUAAGUUUUCAACUGUUCAAAUGUUAAACAAUAAAGUCCUAACUACAGCCUACAGCCUACAACCUGCAUCCUACCCAGAACUUAUUCAAACUAAUACAAAUGAUGAGUUGGUUUAUUAAUGCAAGGCAUUCAAGCCUUCAUCACAUGUAUCUUAGAGCACCCAGAAGCUUACCAAAAAUAGUAAAACAAGAAGUGAGCAAAACUGAAACCCAACCAACCCAACAAAGUCCAAGCAACCACUGACCAAACUGAAAAAAAAAAAAUGAUCUCAUCAGCUGCGAUUCCUUUUUCUCUCAAAGUUAAUCAAAUAUACUAAUUUCACUAUAUGCUUACACCUGAGUUAAUCAACUAUACCAAUUUCACUAUAUGCUUACACCUGAGUCCAAGUAUCAAUCCUUGUGCGCAUAAUUCACCCGAAUGUUUCUGCCAUCCAGUAACUGAAACAACCAUAAAGCCACACAUGGAUUACAAAGAAACAUAACAGUUCAUUACUAGCCUGUACUUUAACAUAUCGAUGUCUUUUGAAGUUCUACAUACCAGGCCAUCCAUUUCCUUGAUAGCCUCCCCGGCUGCAGCUUCAGAAGCGAACUUCACAAAACCGUAUCCUCUUGAUUGCCCAGUCACACGAUCACAUAUAACCUUAACUGCUAAAAAUAACAAUGAUUUCCCGAUAAGACUUUUCGGCUAUAAAGAACCAUAAUGGUCACCCAAAAAUUCACCAAGGACAUCACCUUCAAUAAUUUCACCAUGCUGUCCGAAAGCAUCCUUCAAAACAGUUUCAUUAGUGUCAUACGAAAGCCCUGCAAUUUUUUUUUUUUUAAAAAAAAAAUUACAGCUUCGAAUUAGCUUAGAGUAAUGAUACAAUUUAUGUUUUUGCAUAUAAUUUGGACACGAUCUCAUGAAGGAUAUAUUUCAGAGUGAAUAAUAAUAAUAAUAAUAAUAAUAAGACCCACCAUUGAAAUAGCCUAAAAUCAGUAACUCUAAAAGAGUUUCAUUAAUUCUAAAAUAAUAUGUAUAUGCCCCAAAAUUUUUAUAAAAAAAAGGGGAAUCAAAGGCGAAAAAAUCGAGAGAAGAGACCUCCAAUGAAUAAUUUGGUACGAGAGUUUGAAUCCGAUAGCAAUCUGAUGAAGCGUACUGAAUGGGAAAAACGAACGCUGCCGUUCAACCACUGCAUGAUCUCUUAUCGUGUGCCGACAGCGAGGUGCAUAAUAGCAUAAAGCGCAGAGCACCAGACAGGCACGGGCAUUGGUCACUAGAGUUGCCAGCGGUGAUGUGUUACUAAAUAACGGCACCGUUUCAAUUACAGUAAGUAGAGCUGUUACAUCACAUAGCAAAGUAAAAUGUUCAACGAAACGACACCGUUUUCCAUAGUAAAGAAGCGAGCAGGACGAACAAACCGGGCUUCAGCUUGGUAAAUUAAUCUCGAUUAAAAUUUAAAGGCGCCAACUUUCAAUUAUAAAGAAAAAGAGUUCGAUUAUAUCAAUAACAAAUUCUUGUAGAAGAUUUAUAAACUAUAAUUAAAUCCCCAUAUUGAAAGGGUUUAUAGUUACAAAAAACUUGUUUCAAUUCAUUUAACAGGCCGAGGCUAUGCUAACAACAUACACACAGCAUAUAUCAAAAGAAAAAAGAGCAAAAUGGGAAAACCUAGACUGAGCAUUACAUGCGGUAGCACUCAAGAUACAACUAAUCUAGGCUUUCUUUGGGGACUUGGUAGCCUUGGAUGGAGAUUUGGGCUCCUUCGCAACACUUUCCUUAGUCUUCUUUGGCAACAGCACUGGGUUGAUAUUAGGCAAAACGCCGCCGCUUGCAAUCGUCACACCUGUGAGUAAUUUCCCCAACUCCUCAUCAUUCCUCACCGCUAAUUGCACGUGCCUUGGGAUGAUCUUCUUCUUCUUGUUGUCACGUGCCGCGUUCCCAGCCAACUCCAACACCUAAGACAUAUUUUAAAAGAAAAAGGCUUGCUUGGUACUGGGUUCAAUUUUGGAAAAAAAAAAUUAUUAACUUUGAUUUAAUCAAAUUUUUAAGCAAGGAUAAGCUUGUAUCUUACUUCAGCAGCUAGGUACUCGAGCACAGCGGCCAUGUAAACUGGAGCACCGCUACCCACACGCUGCGAAUAUCUUCCCUUCUUCAAGAAACGCCCGAUUCUACCUACUGGGAAUUGGAGCCCCGCUUUCACAGACCUGGAAACGGAUUGCUUUUUCGGUCCUCCUCCCUUCCUUCCGCCGGCUCCCUUCUUCACUUUGACUGGUGUAUCCAUGACCCAACCUCAAAAUGCAGAAAGAUUUACUUCAACAAAGUUACGGGUUUCGUGGGUGUGAAUGCGGGAUAGUGGCUGUUGGGUGCGCUGCUUUAUAGAUGAGUGUUAAAGAGUUUGAGGGUGGGAAAUUGUUUGGAGUGUAGGAUCUGGACCUUUGGAUUUAGAGGAAAUCGACGGUUGUAGAUGAUUUUAUUUCGAUCUGCGUCGUUUAAAAAGGACCAAUGGGAAGCGAGCUUCGAUUUGAAAAUGGGUUAAUUUUGUCCUGCCCCCAAAUGUUUCAACAUUUUUCACCGAGUCCCCAAAUGUUUCAACAAUAUUCACUCCACACCCAAAUCCGUUAUUUUGACCGUUUAUUCUAACGGUCAAAAGGUAAAUUUGAAAAUUUAUAUCCUAAAUAUUAUUUGAUGAUGAUAAAUUAAAUUUAUUUGAUAAUUUAAUUGAUAGAAUUAUUAUUAAUAACCUUUAAAUAAUUUUUUUUAAUGUAAACAUUAAUUAUUAAAUUAACAUUUUAUCUCAUUUUAUUUUUCUCUAAUUCAAGAUAAGGGGUAUUUCGAAUAUUUACUUAAAUUUUAAAUAGCUCCAUUAAACAUAACGGUCAAAUUAAAGAAAUUGGGUGUGAAGUGAACAUUGUCGAAAUAUAUGGGUGCGUGGUGAAAAAUGUUGAAACAUUUGGGAGCAGGACAAAAUUAACCCUUUGAAAAUUUUAAGGGCUUUUCUUCCGUAUCCAGUAUUUUCGUUUUGAAUUUCCCGCUAUGUCUCUAGAAGCAUCUGUCAGAAAUUAAGAUCUAAUUAAAACUUGUUCAUUUUCAGAUGGUUAAAAUUGAAAUUCAAGUCGAACCAAAACCACUUGACUUGAACUUUACUCGUUCAAUUUCUUAGUUGAAAAACUAAAUGAGAAGAUUAAAUUAUAUUGGUUUUAUGGAGAUUUGGGCUCCUUCGCAAUACUUUGCCAUUUUUUCACUUUAUGUUGAAUAUAUUUAAGUGUUAAUGUGCUCAAUUUAUUCUAAUUUGACAUUACUGAUUGAAAAUAGUGAUAAUCUUGUCUUAUAUAAAAUGGCAACAAGUAUGAAAAAUAAAUAUGAUAAAUAUUGGGGUUCAAUUCAUAACUUGAAUAAUUUGUUGCUCAUUUCAAUUAUUCUCGAUCAACAUUAUAAGUUAAAAUAAGCGACAUUUUGCUUUGAAGACAUUUUUAUUACUGAUGAGAUUGGUAAGAAGACUAAAGAGGCGAAAAAUCUUUUAGUACGUUUUUAUAAUUACUAUAAAUAUUUUAACACUAAGAUUGAUGGUUGUGGAUCAUCUAGUAGUGCUGGUAAGUCAUCAAUCAUUGAUAGUAGGAAAUUUGAUAAAAAGGUUGGGUUUUCUAAACUUUCAAGUGUUGUAAAGUUCAAACAAAAAAUAAGAAAAGAUGAUUGUGUUGAGAUAAAAAAAAAAUGAAGUAGAGAGGUACUUGUUGGAGCCAUGUGAACAUGUUGAUGACGAUGACUUUGAGACUUUGGCAUGGUGGAAAAUGAACUCAAUAAAAUAUUGAGUCCUUUCACACAUUGCAAAGGAUGUGUUUGCAAUUCCAAUAUCUACAUUAGCUUAAAAAUAUGCAUUUAGUACUAGAGGACGCAUCAUAUAUUCAUUUCGUAAUUCUUUAAGUUUGAAGAUGGUCGAAGCUUUGAUAUGCUCACAAAAUUGGUUACGUAACACUUUUGUCCCAUUACAAGAUGAACCAACAAUAAGUUUUAUGAAGUCAUGAUGUCAGGUAACUAUUCAUCAUAAUAAGUUUAAAAAAAUUAUAUAUUUGUUUAUCACUAGUCUUUUUUCCAUUAAUUUAUUUUUUAUUUAAUGUAGAGUUUGGAUCAAAUAUAAUAACAUAGACGAUGACUUUAAAUUGUUGUUAUUCUCAUGAUUUUGGUAUGAAUCAUGUUCUUUUCUAAAUUUACUCAUCUUUAUAACUAUUCAACAUUAUAAUUUUUCUUUUUUGGUUAUUUAUUUGUAUUGUAAUAUGGUUAAUACUAUUAGAUUUUUAUUUUUUUUCUUUUAAUUUACUUUUUGAUGUCAUGUUUGUGGAAGUUUAUUAUUGAUGUCAUGUUCUUUUCUAAUUUUUUAUCCACAAUAUUUUUCAUAUUUUAAUAUUAAUUAUUAAUUAUUAUAAUUUUGACAUAAUUAAGUUGAUCAAAAUAAAAAAUAUUUUGAUUAUAAAAUUCAAACCAAACCCAAGUGAGUUGGUUUGGGUUGUAUUAAAAGUAUUUGGGUUGGAUCUAUAUUUUUAUAGUUUGAUUUGAAUUAACUUAAAGUCUAAUUCAAACCAACCCAUGUUCACCCCUAAUAAUGGUACUACUAGUGGAAAUUUAUUUUUUAAAAAAAAAGACGAGCGAUUUAAUCUUAUCAUUUACACUUCUUUUUUAACAGUAUAUAUAGGUUUCAAUGGGGUUGGACAAAUUCAGGUUUGGGUUGGAUUUGAAUCAACUCAAUCAAGUUUUAGAUUAAUUGGGUUGGAAAAAAAAGAAAUGAUUCAAACUCAAGUUGAACUUGUAAUUUGAUUUGAACAUAGUUAUGAUCGGAUCAGAAAUUUAUGUUUGUGUGUGCAUUGUGAUUCGGAUCGUAUUAGAUUCUUGAUUGGAUCCGAUCAUGAUCAAGUUGGAUUCUUCAUCCGCAUCCAAUUCGAACUCAGAUUUUGCAGGUCAAGUUAUUUGCUCACCCCUAAGUUCCAGCCUAUAAAUAUAUAGUCUAUUACAUACGUUUACGUUAAUAUACCAUUAAUAUAUUACUCCAUACAAUCGGUCAAGUCACUAAAAGCUUACUGGCAAAUAUAAAGACAAAUAGGAUAUGAGAUACCGACAAUAAAUAUCACUACCUAACAUGUAAUAUAAUACCAUAACACUGUGAAAAAUAAUCCUUUACUCUUUUAACAACCCCCACCUCGAGUGUUAGCCUUACCAACUGAAACUUACAAUAGAUAUGCAAGUUUGUGUAAGUGUAUGAAAAAAAAAAGGUUAAUUAUCAUUGGGUGACACAUGUUUUGAUAAAUUUUAAAAAAGUGACACAUAUUUUAAAAAUAUUCAAACGGAUAACAAAUUGUUAACUUUAUCGUUAACUUGAUCGUGAACAAUAAAUUAAUUACAAAAUGUGUUCUCCAUAAUUUUAAACCAAAAGAAAAGUUGUUCUCACAUGCGGAUGAAGUUUAAAGAUAAAAAAUAUGAAUUUUAAUGUACUCUCUAUAUUUGUGUGUGUGUGUUUGUGUGUGUGUAGAGAGAGAGAGAGAUUUCUUUUCUAGUGAGAACAUCUUCACUUUAGAUGAACUGCUCACGUAAGAACUCAAGUUACCAUGUUGCUCUCAUCUUUGUGUGAUUUGAGGGGUAAAGCCCUUUAAGUUCUCAGUAAACUUAAUUUUUUUCUUGUUCUUGUAUAAAAGAAAAAAUGGAUCAAUUUUCUCGAUACUUCAAAAAAUCCAUUUCAUUUUUUUUUCUAAUUUAUGGUGAUUUUUUAUUAACUGGGUUACUUAAUUCAAAACCGUCAUUCCGUAAUAGUCUCUAUUGAUAGUUUCAAAGUUACAAAAAAGUAAACAAUCACUCUAUUUAUUUUUCUUGAAUUACAAAAUCAUAAUCUAUGUCUAUAUAGAUUUCUAUGUGGCAAAUAUCAUCCAAAUCCCUUAUAUACUAAUAUAACUUUAUUAUUUUAGUGUCUCAUCAAUUCAAAUUGUUUUCUAAGUUAAUGGAAGAAGUUGCAAUUGUUCAAUGACUUACUUUUUCUUUCCUUUCCUUUGUUUUUGUUUUACCACUAUUUAAUAGAAAUCCAACAGCUCCGUGUGCUCUAAUUCAUUAUUUUGAUGCAGACCUUAGAAUACUCCCAAAGUGUUUGAAAGAAUGAUCAUCUUGAAAAGGUAUCUAUAACAUCUCCAUCAAGACCUACCCCCAUCUUAGAGUAGCAAACAGGGAAGUAAAAUUAAUUAUUGUUUAUACAUGUUUUUAUUAUUAUUAUUUUUUGGUGCAAAAAUGAGCCAUUUCAAAUAUGUUCAUUACUCUAGCCAGAGUCGAUUAAUCUAACAUGACUAUAUAAGCGCCCAACAAUUUACUAGAUAAAUUGAUAAGCUAGGCAUUCUUGGCCCACCAAGCGAAGCCGAUGGUUUCUUGGUCAUAGUCUACUACAAUUAAAGUUCUUUUAUUUUCCAUGAAGUAGAACCUCCUUAACCAAUAUAAGAUUUUCAUGGAGCUUGAGCCACCAUCCAAGCACAAAUACCCUCAUUUAAAAGAAUAUAUAUAUAUAUAGUCUUAAUAGAAUCUCCCGCUCAUGAAUUUUUUCAAAAAUAAAAUCAUAAUAAAAUGAGGAUACUAUUAAAAUAUUAAAAAUUAUACAUUUCAAUGCAUUAAAGACCCAAUAUUUUCUUUGAUAAUGUAUUAAAAUUUGUUUCUUUUAAUCUAUUAGUAAUAUUUUAUUUUAUUAAAAUAAGGAUCGCCCCGUGAGUCGUGAGGUAAAAAUUCUAUACAUGAACGCUGUGAAUAAGCACGCAAGUUGAAUCUUUUAGAAUAUUAUUAAGAAAAUUACCACCAAUUUUCUCUAAUAAGGAAGUUUGUACUGCGCAAAUACGUCAAAUUUGUUAUGUUUUGUCCAAAACCGACCGAGAAAGGAAUGUAAAUGUAGGGCAUAAUAGACAUCUCACUUUCGCUACACGCGUCAUGUUCUCAUUCGACAGCCAGUCUUUCCCUCCGUUGUCACGCAUGACCGCCAUCAUGAUAUUUAGCGGACAGUGGAGCCACCAAAUUCACCAGUCACCAGUCAGAUUUUUCAUAAUAUUAAAAAAGCAAAGCAAAAAGAAAAUUUGAGAAAAAAAACCAGAAUAAAAACAAUAUAAAACAAGUAGAAGAGAGUCCUUCAUUAUCUUAACCUCCAUUUCCUCUCCAACAAACUUUCCUUCACCUUGCAAAAUUUCUCUGUACUUUGCUUCUUAGAUCUUGAUCCUAGAAACCAUGGUGAGUUAGUUCUCUUUCAACUUUACGACUAAAUUUUUGCUCACUUUUUCCUAUAAUUUUUAUUUGGGUUCGAAAUAUGUUUCUUUGGAGCUAAAGAUUGAUUAGAUCUGAUGUGGGUCUUCUUAUAUCGUCACUGUGCGUUGACUAUAGAUCUUUAAAUUUAUAAAUGGAUGCUUAAUUGUUUUGGGAAUUUCUAACUUUUGUAGUGGGUCUGAUCUGAUCUGUUCUGUUUUCGUGUCUUGUACAAUUCUAAAAUUGCAGUAUUUGGUUUGGCAAAUAGAUGGUAUUUUUUUUCUGUUGGUUUUAAUGUUAAUUUGAUCAUUUUUGUUAGCCAUGUGAGUAUUUGAUUCUUAUAAAUGCAUGAAUAUGUUUUUUUUUUUUGAGUUAUGUUUUGCUAGUGUUGUUCAUAGUGAUGAUGCUGAAGUACUUCACAGAUUGUUGAAGACACUUCCUAUAACGGUGGUGUUAUAGUUCAUUAGUUCUCCAAGGUGUUUUUAGUAAAUAUUAUGCUGUAUCAAUUCAAACAGCUUUGCUAUUGCAUGAUUGUUAACAGAGCAAGAUGAAAUAGUUAUUCAGUAGUAUGUUCUUAGAAUUGAUCUUCUAGUUCUGGGGUUAAUUUGCGACACUCUGAUUCUAUGCUGAUUGGAUGGAAUUGUCUACCAUUUUCCUUCCGUUGUAGUUGCCAUAAUUUGUCUGAUAUUAUAUUGAUGCCUCAAGUGUUUUGUUCUGCAAUCAUAAGAUUCUUGUCAUGUUUUUAGUUAUCAUUAAAGUAAUGAUAAUUGGUGAAUAAAUUUUUUGCCUAUUAGUAAUUUGUUUCUUCCUAUCCUUGCUCUUUAGUGUCCAUGGUUUCUCAAAGAAAGUGGUUUUGAUCUUGCUAUUUUGCCUUUCAAGAUGUUUUUUUUUGUAUUGCAAUUAUGGACGUUACGUGUGGAUAUGGAUUACGGUGCUUGAUAGGACAUGUUAUAUUGUUUGAUUUGCCACCAAGUUUGCCUUGCUUGACUUGGUUCUGUUUUGAAAGGAUUUGCAUUGACACUAAGUCAUUGACUUGUAAUUUUUUUUUUUUUUAAUUUCUGAUUGUUUUUCUUCCAUUACUAGCAUAAUCUAGUGUCCUUCCAACUACUGCAAAAUUCAAUGCCGCAUGUUGUUUACUACAUGAGACUGUAAUUUUAUUUAUACAUGGAAGGGAUGUAAUGGAUAUUUUGGUUUUGUGAUGCAUGAGUGUAUACUUGCUUAUUUUAGGCUCAUCUGAACAUUUGUGAUUCAACAUUUGAAAAGUUUUACAAGUACAUCGGGAACAGAAGUUAAAAAAAUAAUAAUAAAAUAUUGCAGAUUGUGAUCUUAGUAGCCCUGCUAAUGAGCUGAAUGCCUUUGACUUAUUUAGAAUGAAGAUGGAAUCACAAUGAGCAAGGUGUUUUAAAUUAACUUCAUGCCUGUUUGCACCUUUUUUUCUAGGUUUCUCAUGGGUAAUUCCUUUUCGUUCUAUCUGCAGGCUAAUGCUGCUUCUGGGAUGGCUGUACAUGAUGACUGUAAGCUAAAGUUCUUGGAGUUGAAAGCCAAGAGAACCUACCGCUUCAUAGUAUUUAAGAUUGAGGAGAAGCAGAAGCAGGUCAUUGUGGAAAAACUUGGUGAGCCAACUCAAACCUAUGAAGAUUUUGCUGCCAGCCUUCCUGCUGAGGAGUGCCGAUAUGCUGUGUAUGAUUAUGAUUUUGUUACCGCAGAGAACUGCCAAAAAAGCAGGAUUUUCUUCAUUGCAUGGUAAAUAUCAUAUUCCUAAAGCUUACUUUCUUUCAAAAUGUACUUCCAAUCACGGUUGGUAAUGUUUAUUUACUGAUGAAGGUCUCCCGACACUGCAAGAGUAAGAAGCAAGAUGAUUUAUGCAAGCUCCAAGGACAGGUUCAAGAGAGAGCUAGAUGGCAUUCAAGUGGAGCUGCAGGCAACUGAUCCAUCUGAGAUGGGUCUUGACGUAUUUAAAGACCGUGCCAACUAAAUAAAGGCUCCUGAUCUCAGCAAUUGAGAUUGUUUUUAUCUUUUGUGCUUUACCUAAAGGUGAAAUGUUAAUAGUUUGUGGCGGCAGCUUGAAUCUAACUGAAUUAUGAUAUUGGUUUGUUGUUCAAGUUUCACCGAUGCAGUAUUCUCGUCUAGAACCAUUUCAGUGGUCUUUAUGAUGUCUUUAUUGAUUUGUUGUGGUGUGGAAGUUAUGGGAUGAGUGGCUACUUAUAGCUAUUUCUUCAAGCUAAGGUGUUUCAAUUGAUGGGGGAUGGAUAACCCUCUGUUAGGGUUGUUUUUACUUUGAAAAUGGAUGUUUCAUUUUGAACUUUAUAAAUGGAUGUUUCAUUUUUCUUGUUACUUAUGCAUAAUUGGCAAGUGAAGAAAUACCGUUCAUUUUUCUUGUGCGAUUCUAGUUGAUAGUGCAAUGACACUUUUGUAUGAAAUAGAUCGAAGUUACCUCUUUUUGGUUUUUGUCAACACAACCAAGCUACUUUCUAUGGUAAUACGUGGUAGUUUUGCUAAUUAUGCAUACUAUGGUUUGUGAAUAUCAAAUUAACGAAGUAUGAGUUAUUGCCUGAUUUUAAGGAUCAAGUGCAUCACCAAAUAGUGGGGAUCUUAAAUCUUUCCUCUACCCAAACAUGGAAAUCUGAAGCUGGAGCACUUGGCCCUCGGCUGCAUCGGCACAUUCAUAGCCCAUGGCAAGGGUCAUAAUCUGGAUAUGUAAUAAACAGGAAUGAAAUUUGUCUUAGUAAUAUUACCACUUGUAAUUACAAGGCUUUUUUGACAUAAUAGAUGUGAUUUUUCGAAUUUGAAUGCAAAAAGUCAGAAGCGAACGAAUAACCCACCUCUAUAAUUCCAAGUUGGCAAUCAAAAUAUUGUAAUAAAUUUCAUUUCAGUGAAAGUAAUAGCUAUGAAGAAUCAAAGAAAAAAUGAUGGUUACAACUAAUUUAUAGUCUGCAGGUUUAUUAAUGUUUCUAUUGUAACGAGGACAGGGUUCCCUCGCAAGCAUCAUGCUAGUCAUAUUCUCUCACCCACUUUACAAGGUCAAAGGUAAUGCCUAACGUACAUGAAGAGUGUCUAAAAAUGUAUAUUUCAAUGGGCAAUGCCGGCCAUCAGAUUAAGCCAAGGUAAAAAAUGUUACCUUGAAGCAUCAUUCUUCUGGCCUAAAUUUAAGAAAAUAUCUUAGUGAAACCAUGUUCCGAGUCCGUGCUUUUCUGUCCGAUACAUGUUACAACUAAGUAUCCAGGGGCAAACUACUUUGAGCAACUUGCAAGAUUGAGAGAAACAAGUGUAAGGCAGGGUACAUGGAUAAAGCUGAGCUUCUAUGUAAGGAAAUGCUGGCUAGCGGUUCUCUUCCAAAUCAAAUAACAUAUGGUUGUUUCCUUGACUACUUGACUAGAGAAGGAAAAAUGCCCCUUCUCAUCAUAUCAUCACGCAAUUCAAAAGCCUUGGUGAUUUCUCCUCUAAUACAGCAUCCAUAUAUCAAAAAGUUGUAUGCCAGUGGAUCAGGUUUUAAACCUUUAUUUAGCAUGGAGUCCCAUAACUUAAGAGCCUCAUGUAAAUAACCUCUUUUACAGUACUGAUAGAUUAUUGUUGAAUAGGUGAUACAAUCAGGGAGUAUGCCAUUGUCCAUCAUUCCACCAAGGAGCUUGGUGGCCUCUUCAAAUUUCCCCAUUGUGCAAAAGCCGUGAAUGAGUAUAUUGUAUGUGACAGUGUUUGCUAAAAGUCCAUCAAGCAUUGCAUUAUGCAGCUGUACAGCUUUCUCCAUUUUUCCUUCUCUAGUCAAGUAGUCAAGGAAACAACCAUAUGUUAUUUGAUUUGGAAGAGAACCGCUAGCCAGCAUUUCCUUACAUAGAAGCUCAGCUUUAUCCAUGUACCCUGCCUUACAUAAGCCAUUUAUCAGAGCAGUAUAUGUCACAACAUUUGGGACACAUCCUUCACCAAUCAUUAUAUCCCAAAGUCUAAAUGCCUCCUUGAGAUUACCUGCUUUGCCCUUGGCAUCAAUCAUGCUUGUAUAUAUUACAUUAUCAGGCCUCAGUCCCUUGUCAUGCAUCUCCUUCAAAAGCCCAAAAUAUCUCCUUGUAUCAGACUGUUUUAGAGAUCCAUCUAUAAGUACAGAAUAACACACAAGAUCCAUGUUCACGCCCCUUUCCACCAUCUCACGACAAGCACCCAGUGCAUCCUUUAAUCUCCCUUCUUUGCAAUAACCAUGUAGAAGUGCACUAUAACACAUCUCAUUUAACUUGCAAUGCUCUCUAUGAAGUCCAUCCACAAACUCUUUAGCUUCAGACACUCUACCAGCAGAACAAAGACCUGUUAUCAGAGAUCUGUAAGUGUAUGUAUCUGCUACAAGGCCCUUCCCUGCCAUUUCAUCAAGCAAUUCAAAGGCCUUUACCAUGCAACCUUCCCUGCAGUAACCUUCAAUCAGUACAUUAUAAGUCACUUCAUUUGGCAUAACAUUACGUUCCAGCAUUUCAUCAAACCAUUUAAUUGCCUCAGUCAGCUUAUUUGCUCGACAGAGACCAGAAAUAAGUGCAGUAAAGGUGUAAGAAUUUGGUGCAAUGCCCUUCCCAGUCAUCUCAUGAUAAAGCCUGAAUGCCUUAUUCAGUUUUACUUCAUUGCAAUAUCCACUUAUUAAGGAAGUGUAUGUUAUCACGGUUGGUGUUAAUCCUUUAUGAAUCAUCUCUUCAAAGAACGAUUCCGCUGCACUCAAAUUGCCCAACUUACAAUGCCCACUUAUCAGAGAAUUGUAAGGAUAGAUGGUUGCUUUUAUCCCCUCAUCUGCCAUUUUACCAAGAAAACUAACUGCAAUAUCCAUUUCUCCCCUUCUGCAUAAUGAAUCAAUCAAAAUAGAAUAAGUAACAACAUUUGGAGACAAGCCCUUCUGUUUCAUCUCGUUAAAAAGAAACUCAGCUUCAUUGAAUUUCCUUUCUUUACACAACGAAUUGAUCAACGCGUUGUAUACAAAUAAGUUAGGUACCACCCCGAGUGGCCCCAAUUUAUUUACCAAGUUAAAAGCAUCGUCAAUCUUCCCCUUCCUCCUGAACCCCUCAACAAGACUUGAAACAGCUGCUUCACUUGGAACCAAACCCAACUCGAUCAUCUCAUUCAUCAACCACACACCAAACUCAAACUCUUGCACUUUACACAAUCCGAGCACUAAUGUGCAAUAGGUAACAACAUCUGCUUUUACUCCUCUUUUUACAAAACCAUUCUUGACCUCAACAGCCUCAAAAACUCUUUGACUCUUGCAAAGUCCAUGAAUCAAAAUAUUAUAGACCACAACAUUUAAAUCACUCCCAUUUGAAUCCAUAAAAUGAAUCAUUUCCUUGGCUUUAACAAAAUCUUUUAAUUCACACAAACUUCUCAUCACUGCCGAGUGUAUAUAAAUAUCAGGCAAUAUACCCACAUUAACAACCUCCUCAAACAAUUUCAACACUAACCCAAAUUGCCUAAUUUUGACGAGCCCAUUUAGAACCCCACUCAGGGUUCUAACUUCAGGCAUCAAAUGUUUCUCUCUCAUUAACCGAAAUACGAAAACACCAUCCGCGACUCUCUUAUUUUGCACGUAACUUUGAAUCAACAAAUCAAAACCCAAACUUGAAGAAAACCCAAAUUUCUCAUAACAAUCAAAUAAAGAAUCAAAAGCCUCUUUUGGGCUUAGCCCACGAAGAAGCAGCGUCUGCAAUAGCGAACUUGCAGGCCAAAAGAGAUUGUUUUGCACCAAACCGUGAAUCAAAAUACAAAAGGACGCCGUUGAAUGGUUGAAGGUUUUAUGCAGGCCUAGAAAAUUGAAGAAUCUUAAAGCUAACCUGGAAUCGUCUAGAGUCCGGAUCAAGACCUUUUCAACAUGAUGAGGCUUUAAUGCGGUGGAUAAAACGGCAUCGUCCAAUGCUAGCUUCCAGCUCUGUUUUCCUCGUAUGAUUUUUUUAAGUGUGUCAAUGAAUUGUGACUCUUUUUCGUCAUUAUCUGAGUAAAAGGGUCUGUGAGUGCAUAAAUUUCUGCGCUUGUAGUGGAAUUUUAAGCUUGUUACCUGUCGUUGAGAGAGGGUGAGCUUCAUCUAGCGAAUUGCGAUGGGAAAGUGAAGAGUUCAGUUCAGGACUUCUUGUGAGACUGUAAAUGGGUCAAACCGGAUCUGAGGGUUUCCGGUCAGUUUGGAGUUUGAGACAUUGAGGGGACAUUUUAAAGAUCCACAAUAAUGGAUUGUGAGUUAUUGGGUUGAGUAGGCCUUUUGACACCCUUCAAAUUUUUCAUAAGAAUCUUUUUUAAUUGCAAUUAUUUAAAUAAAUUAAUGUAUUUUUUGUUUUCAAUGAAAAUUUGGUUAAAACUUACAUAAAUUAUUCUUUUAACAAGUUUUUUACACACACUUAUUUUAUAAUUAAUAUUAAUAUUUUAAAUUUUAAAUAAAAUAUAUAUAUUUGAAAAAAUUAGAAGAGUUUGGAGUUAUCAAAAUGGAUUUUAGACAGUAAAAAGAAAAAAAUUUAAGAUAUUUAAUAUUUCAGGAUUUGUAUGUAAUUUAAAAAGAAAUAUGAUUAAUUUUCAUAUAUGAAUUUACAUUUUAUCAAUUUAACUUAGGAUAUUUUAGAAAAUAAAUUAAAAGGGGUAUUAUAAAAGUUUUAGGAGAAAUUUUAAAAUACUUUUGAUGUAUUAUAAUCAAUUGAUGCAUGCAUGUCAUAUAUGUAGUUGAAUUUAAUAUAAUCACAACUUGCAUGAUAGUUUUUCAAACUAAAUGCACACAUGUCAUAAUAUCAUUUAUUUGUUGUAUGGCUAACAUAAUACCUCUAAUGUAUUUUAGAAUUUCUUAAAUUUUAAAGGAGUGUUAAAAGCUCAACCCUAUUGAGUUUCUUAAAGGCUAAAAGAUCAUUGGCCCAUAUUAAUGCGGAUCUUUAGUUUAUUCUUUUGUUAUUUAAAUUAUUGUUUACAUUUUUGUAUAUAAAAUUGGGUGGGCACAAUUCGAUUCAAUUCUAAAUCGAAUUGGAUUGAUUGAUUUUUACUUAAUAUAUAAACUGAAUUAAACUGAAUUGAAUUAGAGCGAUUCUUUGGAUUUUGUGGUUUUAUUCAAUUUUUGAAUUUUUUAAAUAUGAACCGAUUGAUUUUUGUUAAUUUUUAAAACUUAAGUUAACAAAAUGAUCACUUUGGCUACAUUCUUGGCAGUGAUUUGUCUGCUCACCUCUAUUAUAAAUGUUUUGGCUUGGUUAAAGGUGGAUACAAAUUCCUAAAAUCAAACCAAACAGCUAAAUCAAUAUAUAAAAACAGUAGUGCUACACAUCCCAAAAAAUUAUCUCAAAUGAUGUGUCAUUAAUUAAGUGGUUGAUAAUUCUUUAUAAGAUUUAAGUGAAUUAAUUGUAUUAUCUCACCAACCAAUUGAUAAAUGACACAUCAUUUGCGAUAAUUUUUUGGGAUAAAAAAUUUGGGAUGUGUAGCAUUACUCAUAUAAAAAAUUGAAUGUUAUCAAUUAUUCUAUUCGAAUUUUAAAAAUGCUAGUACCUACACAAAUUUGGUCAAGUUUUUAAUCUUAGGGGCAUUUAUGUUUUAAACUUAACGGUUUAAUUGAAUUACUUUCAAUCGGUUAAGUCAUUAAGGUAGCGUUUACUUUUUGGAUUGGAUUGGGAAUCCUGAGGAGUGAGAAUCUUAGGAUUAGGAGUGUGGAGUGGGAGUGGGAGUAGGUUGUUUACUUACACUGGAAUGGAAGUAUGGAUUAGAGAUCAGAAUCCAAUUUAUGUGUUUACUUUGUCUUGGAUUGCGAGUAAAUAGUUUCAAAUUACAAUUUUAUCCUUAUUUAAAGAAUUAUAGUUUUUAAUUACAAAACUAAUAAAAAAUAUAUUUAAUGAAUAAUAUUUAUUUUAUUAUAUUUGUAAAUUUAUUAUAAUUAUUAAUAUUCUUAAUUAUGAACAAUAAAUUAUUAAUUUUAAUACAAAAUGAAACCUUAUUUUAUUUUAUUUAAUAUAAUUAUAUUAAAUUUAUUAUUAUAUAAAAUAAUAAUAUAAUAUUAUUUAGUACAAAAUUAAUAUUUUCUUAGAAUAAACUAUUUAUUAUUAUUAAUAAUAAAUAAAUAUAAUACUAUUAUUUUUAAAAUAAAUAUAAUAAUAUUACAUUUAUUAAUUCUCUAUUAAUAUAAUAAUAUUAUUUUAAAAUAAUUUUAACUUAGAAUCAAUGCAAAUUAUUAUUUAGUUAAAUAUAAUAUUAUUAUUCAAACAAAUAUAAUAAUAUUAUUCAAAUAAAUAUAAUAAUAUUUAUUUUAUUUUAUUAAUUAUAAAAUAUUAAAUUAAAUUAAAUUAAAAAAAAUAAAAGAGUAAAAAAGGGAGAGGUGGGAGUGGAUUCCCACUCCCACCUCCCCCAAUGGGAGUCCCACUCCCACUCCCCACUCAAAAAAUGGAUGGGACCCACGGAGUGGGAUUCCCACUCUCUUCCCAUUUAGAGAAAGUAAACGCUGAAGUGGGAGGAAUCCACACUCCUCACUCCUACUCCAGCAAGUAAACACAACAUAAGUCCAUUUAUUUUUUUAGCUUAACAAAAAUUUUCAGUCAUUAAGUUAUUUAACCAAUUAUUUUUGUUUUUUUACUUAAUUUCAAAAGUUUGAAUGAAACCAACAAAAUUAUGUCACAAUAAUUUAUACACAAUAAAUCUAUACUAAAUUUUAUGGCUUAUUAUUACUCUUUAGUAUUAUUUUUAAUUUAGUUAUCAUCAAUUAUUUGGCAUUAUUUUUUUCAUCUGAAAAUUUAGAGCCCGCGCUGAGAGAAAAAGUUAUACUCGCCGCGCGUUUAAGCGCGAACGCAUGAAUUCAAAAAGUUACAAAUAAUUUUUUUUUUUUUUUCAAGGAUUACAAUUAAAAAUUAAUUAACUAAUUUAACGCGUCUAUUCAAAGCCGUCGAUCCGAUUUCCGAGAGGCUAAUCCACGGUAUCCUUAGCCAAGCCGUCAAUCCGUGUAUCUGCACAUUUUCCAAUACAAGACUAAUUUAACCAUUACUAACGCAUCUCAUAUGGGUCGUCGAUUCCCCAAUGGAAUCCAACGGCUGUAUGUAUCCACGUCAGCAGUCCUCAUCUUUCAAAAUCCACCAAUCAAAUCACAUCAAACCGAUCUAUAAAUACCAAACCACAAUGCCCUUUCCUCUUCCAUCUCACAACAAAAUCUCCCGUAUUCACCGAAUCUAACAAUUUGUCUUCUACUUUCAAUUCCUCGCGAACCCACAGUUUCUUCUGACGAUGGCACCAAAGGCGGAGAAGAAGCCAGCGGAGGAGAAGAAGACACCGGUAGCGGAGAAGGCGCCUGCCGAGAAGAAGCCGAAGGCCGGGAAGAAACUUCCGAAGGAAGCCGCAGCGGGUGACAAGAAGAAGAAGCGCACGAAGAAGAGCAUUGAGACGUACAAGAUCUACAUAUUCAAAGUCCUGAAGCAAGUCCAUCCAGAUAUCGGAAUCUCGAGCAAGGCUAUGGGAAUUAUGAACAGUUUCAUCAACGAUAUUUUCGAGAAGCUUGCUCAGGAAUCUUCCAGGCUGGCAAGGUACAACAAGAAGCCGACGAUAACUUCUCGUGAAAUCCAGACCGCUGUGAGACUUGUGCUUCCUGGUG
rnacentral:lncRNA from 1 species